rnacentral:lncRNA from 1 species
UUGUUUUUGGUGGCUACGGAGGCUUCUGGUGGCGGAACUACCGAUGUAUGGUGCUCCCUGAUCAUUUUAGGGUAUAUGGGGAUAUAUAGGCGGAAGAAGUACGCCAGGGGAGCCACGAGGGGCCCACGAGGGUGGAGGGCGUGCCCAGUGGGUGGGCGCGUCUCCCUGCCUCGUGGCUUCCUCGUUGCUUCCCUUACGCGGACUCCAAGUCUCCCGGGUUGCUUUCCUUCUAAAAAUAAGUUUCGUGAAGUUUCAGGUCAAUUGGACUCCGUUUGAUUUUCCUUUUCUGCGAAACACUAAAACAAGGGAAAAAUAGAAACUGGCACUGGGCUCUAGGUUAAUAGGUUAGUCCCAAAAAUCAUAUAAAAUAGCAUAUAAAUGCAUAUAAAACAUCCAAGGUUGAUAAUAUAAUAGCAUGGAACAAUAAAAAAUUAUAGAUACGUUGGAGACGUAUAAGCAUCCCCAAGCUUAAUUCCUGCUCGUCCUCGAGUAGGUAAAUGAUAAAAAUAGAAUUUUUGAUGUGGAAUGCUACCUAACAUAUUCAUCAUGUAUUUCUCUUUAUUGUGGCAAGAAUAUUCAGAUCCAUAAGAUUCAAGACUAAAAGUUUAAUAUUGACAUAAAAAUAAUAAUACUUCAAGCAUACUAACCAAGUAAUCAUGUCUUCUCAAAAUAACAUGGCCAAAGAAAGCUAUCCCUACAAAAUCAUAUAGUCUGGCUAUGCUCCAUGUUCACCACACAAAAUAUUUAAAUCAUGCACAACCCUGAUGACAAGCCGAGCAAUUGUUUCAUACUUUUGAUGUUCUCAAACUUUUUCAAUCUUCACGCAAUACAUGAGUGUGAGCCAUGGACAUAGCACUAUAGGUGGAAUAGAAUGGUGGUUGUGGAGAAGACAAAAAGAAGAAGAUAGUAUCACAUCAACUAGGCGUAUCAACGGGCUAUGGAGAUGCCCAUCAAUAGAUAUCAGUGUGAGUGAGUAGGGAUUGCCAUGCAACGGAUGCACUAGAGCUAUAAGUAUAUGAAAGCUCAACAAAAGAAACUAAGUGGGUGUGCAUCCAACUUGCUUGCUCACGAAGACCUAGGGCAUUUUGAGGAAGCCCAUCAUUGGAAUAUGCAAGCCAAGUUCUAUAAUGAAAGAUUCCACCAGUAUAUGAAAGUGACAACAUAGGAGACUCACUAUCAUGAAGAUCAUGGUGCUACUUUGAAGCACAAGUGUGGUAAAAGGAUAGUAGCAUUGCCCCUUCUCUCUUUUUCUCUCAUUUUUUAUAUUUUUUUAUUUGGGCCCUUUUUUAUGGCCUCUUUUUUUCUUUUUUUUAUUUGGGCUUCUUUGGCCUCUUUUAUUUAUUUAUUUUCGUCUGGAGUCUCAUCCCGACUUGUGGGGGAACCAUAGUCUCCAUCAUCCUUUCCUCACUGGGACAAUGCUCUAAUAAUGAUGAUUAUCACACUUUUAUUUACUUACAACUCAAGAAUUACAACUCGAUACUUAGAACAAAAUAUGACUCUAUAUGAAUUCCUCAGGCGGUGUACCGAGAUAUUGAAUGAAUCAAGAGUGACAUGUAUGAAAGAAUUAUUAAUGGUGGCUUUGCCACAGAUACAAUGUCAACUACAUGAUCAUGCUAAGCAAUAUGACAAUGAUGGAGUGUGUCAUAAUAAACGGAACGGUGGAAAGUUGCAUGGCAAUAUAUCUCGGAAUGGCUAUGGAAAUGCCAUAAUAGGUAGGUAUGGUGGCUGUUUUGAGGAAGGUAUAUGGUGGGUGUAUGAUACCGGCGAAAGGUGCACGGUAUUAGAGAGGCUAGCAAUGGUGGAAGGAAGAAAAGUGCAUAUAAUCCAUGGACUCAACAUUAGUCAUAAAGACCUCAUAUACUUAUUGCAAAAAUCUACUAGUUAUCAAAACAAAGUACUAUGCGCAUGCUCCUAGGGGGAUAGAUUGGUAAGAAAAGACCAUCGCUCGUCCCCGACCGCCACUCAUAAGGAAGACAAUCAAUAAAUAAAUCAUGCUCUGACUUCAUCACAUAACGGUUCACCAUACGUGCAUGCUACGGGAAUCACAAACUUUGACACAAGUAUUUCUCAAAUUCACAACUACUCAACUAGCAUGACUCUAAUAUCACCAUCUUCAUAUCUCAAAACAAUUAUCAAGUAUCAAACUUCUCUUAGUAUUCAAUGCACUUCAUAUGAAUUUUUUUAUUAUAUCCCUCUUGGAUGCCCAUCAUAUUAGCACUAGUUUCAUAACCAAAACAAACUACCAUGAUGUUCUAAAGACUCUCAAAAUAAUAUAAUUGAAGCACGAGAGGUCAUCUAUUUCUUCAAAAUAAAACCACCACCGUGCUCUAAAAGAUAUAAGUGAAGCACUAGAGCAAAUGACAAACUACUCCAAAAGAUAUAAGUGAAGAUCAAUGAGUAGUUGAAUAGUUAUGCAACUAUGUGAAGACUCUCGAACAUUUAAGAAUUUCAGAUCUUGGUAUUUUAUUCAAACAUAAAGCAAAACUAAAUAAAAUAAAAUGACGCUCCAAGCAGAGCACAUAUCAUGUGGUAAAUAAAAAUAUAGCUCCAAUUAAAGUUACCGAUGAACGAAGACGAAAGAGGGGAUGCCUUCCGGGGCAUCCCCAAGCUUAGGCUCUUGGUUGUUCUUGAAUAUUACCUUGGUGUUCCUUGGGAAUCCCCAAGCUUAUGCUCUUGCCACUCCUUAUUCCGUAGUCCAUUGAAUCUUUACCCAAAACUUGAAAACUUCACAACACAAAACUUAACAGAAAACUCGUAAGCUCCGUUAGUAUAAGAAAAUAAAUCACCACUUAGGUACUGUUGUGAACUCAUUCUAAAUUCAUAUUUGUGUAAUAUCUACUGUAUACCAACUUAUCUAUGGUUCAUAUCCUCCGAUACUACUCAUAGAUUCGGCAAAAUAAGCAAACAACACAUCGAAAACAUAAUCUAUCAAAAACAGAACAGUCUGUAGUAAUCUGGAUCAAACGUAUACUUCUGGAACACAUAAAAUUCUCAAAUAAAUUGCUGGACCUGAGUAAUUUGUCUAUUAAUCAUCUGCAAAAAAAUUAACUAAAUAGCACUCUCCAAAUAAAAAUGGCAGCAAUUCUCGUGAGCGCUAAAGUUUCUGUUUUUUACAGCAAGAUCAAUCAAGACUUUCCCCAAGUCUUCCCAACGGUUCUACUUGGCACAAACACUAAUUAAAACAUAAAAACUCAAUCAUAACAUAGGCUAUAUGAUUAAUUUAUUACUAAAUAGUAGCAAAAAGCAAAGAACAAGAAUAGGAUUGGGUUGCCUCCCAACAAGCGCUAUCGUUUAACGCCCCUAGCUAGGCAUUAUGAUUUCAAUGAUGCUCACAUAAAAGAUAAGAAUUGUAACAUAAAGAGAACAUCAUGAAGAAUAUGAGUAGCAAAUUUAAGUCUAACCCACUUACUAUGCAUAGGGGUUUUGUGAGAAAACAACUUGUGGGAACAAGAAUCAACUUGCAUAGGAAGGUAAAACAAGCAUAACUUCAAAACUUUAAGCACAUAGAGAGGAAACUUUAUAUUAUUGCAAUUCCUACAAGCAUAUGUUCCUCCCUCAUAAUAAUUUUCAGUAGCAUCAUGAAUGAAUUCAACAAUAUAACUAUCACAUAAAGCAUACUUUUCAUGAUCUACAAGCAUAUAAAUUUUAUUACUCUCCACAUAAGCAAAAUUCUUCUCAUGAAUAAUAGUGGGAGCAAACUCAACAAAAUAAUUAUCAUGUGAGGCAUAAUCCAAUUGAGAACUAAAAUCAUGAUGACAAGUUUCAUGGAUAUCAUUAUUAUUUAUAGCAUACAAGUCAUCAUAAUAAUCAUCAUAGAUAGCAACUUUGUUCUCAUAAUCAAUUGGAACCUCUUCCGGAAUAGUGGAUUCAUCGGAAAAUAAAGUCAUGACCUCUCCAAAUCCACUUUCAUCAAUAUAAUCAUCAUAAAUAGGAGGCAUGCUUUCAUCAUAAUAUAUUUUCUCAUCAAAACUUGGGGGACAAAAAAUAUCAUCUUCACCAAACAUAGCUUCCCCAAGCUUGUGGCUUUGCAUAUCAUUAGCGUCAUGGAUAUUCAAGGAAUUCAUACUAACAACAUUGCAAUCAUGCUCAUCAUUCAAAGAUUUAGUGCCAAACAUUUUAAUGCAUUCUUCUUCUAACACUUUGGCACAAUUUUCCUUCCCAUCAUUCUCACGAAAGAUAUUAAAAAGAUGAAGCAUGUGAGGUAAACUCAAUUCCAUUUUUUAGUUUCCUUUUAUAAACUAAACUAGUGCUAAAACAAGAAACAAAAAGAUUCGAUUGCAAGAUCUAAAGAUAUACCUUCAAGCACUAACCUCCCCGGCAACGGCGCCAGAAAAGAGCUUGAUGUCUACUACACAACCUUCUUCUUGUAGACGUUGUUGGGCCUCCAAGUGCAGAGGUGUGUAGGACAGUAGCAAAUUUCCCUCAAGUGGAUGACCUAAGGUUUAUCAAUCCUUAGGAGGCGUAGGAUGAAGAUGGUCUCUCUCAAGCAACCCUGCAACCAAAUAACAAAGAGUCUCUUGUGUCCCCAACACACCCAAUACAAUGGUAAUUUGUAUAGGUGCACUAGUUCGGUGAAGAGAUGGUGAUACAAGUGGUAUAUGGAUAGUAGAUAAAGGUUUUUGUAAUAUGAAAAUAUAAAAACAGCAAGGUAGUGAAUGAUAAAAGUAAGCGUAAACGGUAUUGCAAUGCGUUGAAACAAGGCCUAGGGUUCAUACUUUCACUAGUGCAAGUUCCCUCAACAAUAAUAACAUAAUUGGAUCAUAUAACUAUCCCUCAACAUGCAACAAAGAGUCAUUCCAAAGUCACUAGUAGCGGAGAACAAACAAAGAGAUUAUGGUAGCGUACGAACCACCUCAAAGUUAUUCUUUCCAAUCAAUCCGUUGGGCUAUUCCUAUAAGUGUCACAAACAGCCCUAGAGUUCGUACUAGAAUAACACCUUAAGACACAAAUCAACCAAAACCCUAAUGUCACCUAGAUACUCCAAUGUCACCUCAAGUAUCUGUGGGUAUAAUUAUACGAUAUGCAUCACACAGUCUCAGAUUCAUCUAUUCAACCAACACAUAGGACCUCAAAGAGUGCCCCAAAGUUUCUACUGGAUAAUCACGACAAAAACGUGUGCCAACCCCUAUGCAUAGGUUCAUGGGCGGAACCUGCAAGUUGAUCACCAAAACAUACAUCAAGUGAAUCACGUGGUAUCCCAUUGUCACCACAGAUACGCACGGCAAGACAUACAUCAAGUGUUCUCAAAACUUUAAAGACUCAAUCCAAUAAGAUAACUUCAAAGGGGAAACUCAAUCCAUUACAAGAGAGUAGAGGGGGGAAGAAACAUCAUAGGAUCCAAAUAUAAUAGCAAAGCUUGCGAUACAUCAAGAUCGUAUAACCUCAAGAACACGAGAGAGAGAGAGAGAGAGAGAGAGAGAGAGAUCAAACACAUAGCUACUGGUACAUACCAUCAGCUCUGAGGGAGAACUACUCCCUCCUUGUCAUGGGGAGCACCGGGAUGAUGAAGAUAGCCACUGGAGAGGGAUUCCCCCUCCCCGGCAGGGUGCCGGAAUGGGUCUAGAUUGGUUUUUGGUGGCUACGGAGGCUUCUGGCGGCGGAACUCCCGAUCUAUAGUGCUCCCCGAUCGUUUUAGGGUAUGUGGAGAUAUAUAGGCGGAAGAAGUACGUCAGGGGAGCCAUGAGGGGCCCACGAGGGUGGAGGGCGCGCCCAGGGGGUGGGUGCGCCCCCUUGCCUCAUGGCUUCCUCGUUGCUUCCCUUACGUGGACUCCAAGUCUCCCGAGUUGCUUUCCUUCUAAAAAUAAGUUCCGUGAAGUUUCAGGUCAAUUGGACUCCGUUUGAUUUUCCUUUUCUGCAAAUCACUAAAACAAGGGAAAAACAGGAACCGACACUGGGCUCUAGGUUAAUAGGUUAGUCCCAAAAAUCAUAUAAAAUAGCAUAUAAAUGCAUAUAAAACAUCCAAGGUUGAUAAUAUAAUAGCAUGGAACAAUCAAAAAUUAUAGAUACAUUGGAGACGUAUCAGGUGCCGCGAGAAUCUGGCGCGCAAGUGUGGUUCAAGCGGGGAAGGUGGACUGUAGACGACGAAGCUUCCUGCGUAAGCCAUACAAGACGGUGCGCCAAGAUAUUUUAUAUCACAUCCCACAUGAUUAUUUCUAGUAAAUUGUUUGUGGUAUAGCUGAUUUUUUCAUUAUGUUUUGAAAGACAAGAUGGUGUUAAGGAGGGAAAGGAUGGUGUUUGAAUUGCUAGAACAUUUACGUACAGUGAACAUGCAACUAGUACAUGAGUGUCGUGUUUAAAUUUGGAAUUAUUCCGGGUUCGUUUGGCAUUUUUAUGCAUUAAUUUAGUUUUUGGGCAUUUAUUGUGCAUAAUUCAAAUUUGAAAUACAAGCACAUGCUCCAAUGCACCAAAGUUUGUUGAAAAAUCACAUGUGUGUCUUUGGGUGGAUUUAUAGGUCACAUGCAAGAAAUAGGACUGAAAUUCACACAUCUGGGCGUCGAGGCUCGGCCGAAAAGAUUGAGAAACUUGGUUUUUUAAUUCCUGUAAAUCCAAAACACGCCUGAAAAUCAUGAAACUUGGCAUGGUGUCAUGACAUGGCACCAACAUGUUGCGGUAAUUUUUGUGGCCAAAUUGCGACAAGCUUUGGUGUAAGCUUCUUGCAAAUCAGAGCUUCCCUCAAGAAGGCUUGUGGUUUUGAGACGGAACGUGUCACCUUCGUGUGCGAAACGACAUACGUACACUGCCUUCUCCCGCCUUCAUUUUUUUACACUGGCAGAUUAGACCAAAUAGAAGUAUUGUGCUAAAUUUUGGAAUUAUUCCGAGUUCGUUUGGCCUUUUUAUAAAUUAAUUUAGUUUCUGUGCAUUUAAUGUGCAUAAUUCAAAUUUCAACUACAAGCACAUGCUCCAGUGCACCAAAGUUGGUUGAAAAAUCACAUGUGUGUCUUUGGGUGGAUUUAUAGGUCCCAUGCAAGAAAUGGGAAUGAAAUUCAAACAUCUGGGCUUCUUGGCUUGUCCGGAAAUAUUGAGAAACUUGGUUUUUUAAUUCCUAUAAAUCCAAAACACGCCUGAAAAUCAUAAAACUUGGCAUGGUGUCAUGAUAUGGCACCAACAUGCUGCGAUAAAUUUUUGUGGCCGAAUUGGGACAAGCUUUGGUGUAAGCUUCUUGCAAACCGGAGCUUCCCUCAAGAAGGCUCCUGGUUCCGAGAGGGAACGUGUCACCUCCGUGUGCGAAAUGACAUACGUACAUUGCCUUCUCCCACCUUAAUUUUUUUACAGCGGCAGAUUAGACCAAAUAGAAGUAUUGUGCUAAAUUUUGGAAUUAUUCCGGGUUCAUUUGGCCUUUUUUAUACAUUAAUUGAGUUUAUGCGCAUUUAAUGUGCAUAAUUCAAAUUUGAACUACAAGCACAUGCUCCAAUGCACCAAAACUGGUUGAAAAAUCACAUGUGUGUCUUUGGGUGAAUUUAUAGGUCCCAUGCAAGAAAUGGGAAUGAAAUUCAAACAUCUGGGCUUCUUGGCUCGGCUGGAAAGAUUGAGAAACUUGGUUUUUUAAUUCCUGUAAAUCCAAAACACGCCUGAAAAUCAUGAAACUUGGCAUGGUGUCAUGACAUGGCACCAACAUGUUGCGAUAAAUUUUUUGGCCAAAUUGGGACAAGCUUUGGUGUAAGCUUCUUGCAAACCGGAGCUUCCCUCAAGAAGGCUCCUGGUUCCGAGAGGGAACGUGUCACCUCCGUGCGCGAAACGACAUUGGUACACUGCCUUCUCCCGCCUUAAUUUUUUUAACACAUGCAGAUUAGACCAAAUAGAAGUAUCAUGCUAAAUUUUGGAAUUAUUCAGGGUUUGUUUGGCCUUUUUUAUACAUUAAUUGAGUUUCUGCGUAUUUAAUGUGCAUAAUUCAAAUUUGAACUACAAGCACAUGCUCCAGUGCACCAAAGUUGGUUGAAAAAUCACAUGUAUGUCCUUGGGUGAAUUUAUAGGCCCCAUGCAAGAAAUAGGAAUGAAAUUCAAACAUCUGGGUGUCGUGGCUCGGCCGAAAAUAUUGAUAAACUUGGUUUUUUAAUUCCUGUAAAUCCAAAACACACCUGAAAAUCAUGAAACUUGGCAUGGUGUCAUGACAUGGCACCAACAUGUUGCGGUAAAUUUUUUGGUCGAAUUGGGACAAGCUUUGGUGUAAGCUUCUUGCAAACCGGAGCUUCCCUCAAGAAGGCUCGUGAUUUCGAGAGGGAACAUGUCACCUCCAUGUGCGAAACGACAUACGUACACUGCCUUCUUCCACCAUAAUUUUUUUACACAUGCAGAUUAGACCAAAUAGAAGUAUCGUGCUAAAUUUUGGAAUUAUUCCGGGUUCGUUUGGCCUUUUUAUACAUUAAUUGAGUUUCUGCGCAUUUAAUGUGCAUAAUUCAAAUUUGAACUACAAGCACAUGCUCUAGUGCAUCAAAGUUGGUUGAAAUAUCACAUGUAUGUCCUUGGGUGAAUUUAUAGGCCCCAUGCAAGAAAUGGGAAUGAAAUUCAAACAUCUGAGCGUUGUGGCUCGGCCGAAAAGAUUGAGAAACUUUGUUUUUUAAUUUCUGUAAAUCCAAAACAUGCCUGAAAAUCAUGAAACUUGGCAUGGUGUCAUGACAUGGCACCAACAUGUUGUGGUAAUUUUUUGACCGAAUUGGGACAAGCUUUGGUGUAAGCUUCUUGCAAACUGGAGCUUCCCUCAAGAAGGCUCGUGGUUCUGAGAGGGAAUGUGUCACCUCCGUGUGCGAAACGACAUACGUACACUGCCUUCUCCCGUCUUAAUUUUUUUACACAUGCAGAUUAGACCAAAUAGAAGUAUCAUGCUUAAUUUUGAAAUUAUUCCAGGUUCGUUUGGCCUUUUUUAUACAUUAAUUGAGUUUCUGUGCAUUUAAUGUGCAUAAUUCAAAGUUGAACUACAAGCACUUGCUCCAGUGCACCGAAGUUGUUUGAAAAAUCACAUGUGUGUCCUUGGGUGAAUUUCUAGGUCCCAUGCAAGAAAUGAGAAUUAAAUUCAAACAUCUGGGCGUCGUGGCUCGGCCGGAAAGAUUGAGAAACUUGGUUUUUUAAUUCCUGUAAAUCCAAAACACGCGUGAAAAUCAUGAAAGUUGGCAUGGUGUCAUGGCAUGGCAUCAACAUGUUGUGGUAAUUUUUUUGUCCGAUUUUCGAAGGCGCACACAUUAACAAUCAACAAAGUCAUUUUGGAACAAGUGUUGUCACGUUACAAAUCGGAAACACAAGUAUUAUUGAAACCGUGGGCAUCCUACAUACCAAUUGCGUGCCGCCACACGUCCCCUUUUUUUAUUCCCUAGGAGGUGUCAUGCAGGGUAGCUAUUUGGGUACGGGAGGCGUGUGAUCAGACCCCUACGCGUGCUCAUUGGGAGGAGAGCCCUUUGACCGCUACCCGUCGUGCACCUCCCUCCCAACGUCUCCAUUAAUGGCGCCCGAGCCCCUGUUCUAUGGCCUGGCUAUAUGUCUCACUAGACUGAGAUUUAAGAGAGAAAAUAAAAAUCUAAAAAGAAAGUUUUGCGCGGUUCUUGAUGUAAGAUCUGACGGACCUAUAUAGCAUCGAUUGUGACUUAUAGCAAGCAUGAUGAAUAUAAGGACGAUGAAAGUGGAUAAUAAUUGUCUUACAUAUUUAGGAACAUAAUUUUAAAAAGCCACAUGCGGCAACGCCCGAAAUACACAAGGGCAAAAGAAGACGGAAGACAACAAUCCAGCUCACUGAUCUCUACGUUGUUGCAGGCCGCGGGAACUAGUCUCCACGGCGAGCAGUGAUGAGCUCUUUCUUGUCCUCAAGAUGCUGCUUCAGAGCAUCCAUGGAUUCCUCCACCAGCCUUCUGCGCUCGAUGCGCAACAUGGCAUUCUCAUCCAUAAGUUUCUCGACGAUAACGUCGGUCCUCCUCAACAAGGCAGUGGUCUCUGAAGGAAAUAUGCCCUAGAGGCAAUAAUAAAGUUGUUAUUUAUAUUUCCUUAUAUCAUGAUAAAUGUUUAUUAUUCAUGCUAUAAUUGUAUUAACCGGAAACUUAGUACAUGUGUGAAUACAUAGACAAACAAAGUGUCCCUAGUAUGCCUCUACUUGACUAGCUUAUUAAUCAAAGAUGGUUAAGUUUCCUAGCCAUGGACAUGUGUUGUCUUUUGAUCAACGUGAUCACAUCAUUAGAGAAUGAUGUGAUGGACAAGACCCAUACAUUAGCUUAGCAUAAUGAUCGUUCAGUUGUAUUGCUACUGCUUUCUUCAUAACUUAUACAUGCUCCUCUAACUAUGAGAUUAUGCAACUCCCAAAUACCGGAGGAACACCUUGUGUGCUAUCAAACGUCACAACAUAACUGGGUGAUUAAAAAGAUGAUCUACAGGUGUCUCCAAUGGUGUUUGUUGAGUUGGCAUAGAUCGAGAUUAGGAUUUGUCACUCCGAUUGUCGGGGAGGUAUCUCUAGGCCCUCUCGGUAAUGCACAUCACUCUAAGCCUUGCAAGCAUUUGUGACUAAUGAGUUAGUUACGGGAUGAUGCAUUACGGAACGAGUAAAGAGAUUUGCUGAUGACGAGAUUGAACUAGGUAUGAUGAUACCGAUGAUCAAAUCUCGGGCAAGUAACAUACCGAUGACAAAGGGAACAACGUAUGUUGGUAUGCGGUUUGACCGAUAAAGGUCUUUGUAGAAUAUGUAGGAACCAAUAUGAGCAUCCAGGUUCCGCUAUUGGUUAUUGACCGGAGAUGAGUGUUGGUCAUGUCUACAUAGCUCUCGAACCCGUAGGGACCACACGCUUAACGUUCUGUGACGAUUUGUAUUAUGAGUUAUGUGAUUUGAUGACCGAAGUUUGUUUGGAGUUCCAGAUGAGAUCGGGGACAUGUCGAGGAGUCUCGAAAUGGUCGAGACGUAAAAAUCGAUAUAUUGGAAGGCUAUAUUCGGACAUCGGAAAGGUUCCGAGUGAUUCGGGUAUUUUUGUGAGUACCGUAGAGUUACAGGAAUUCGUAUUGGGCCUUAAUGGGCCAUAUGGGAAAGGAGAGAAAGGCCUCAAAGAUGGCCGCUGAUGAAGCUAUGUACCUAGGUUAGGGUCAUGGACCGGUCCAAACAGACCUACCCAAGGACAUCUCCAGAAGAAAUCAUCUUUCAAUCGACUUGAAGGUGUCCCACUCGACAGACUCGAAGAUACUCGACCAAGAAGCAAUCACUCGACCAAGACCAAGCCACUCGACAGUCAGGGGACCUAAAGGCACUCUGCAUGCUAACGGUCGGUUAUUAAGUAGCUUUUAUGGUCAUCAUAGCACUUUAUUACUAGCGUUACCAGUAACGCCUUGCCUUAAUGUACAUUGAACCCUUUGUAAUGUGCGUUGGCUGGGGUCCUGGCGCACUCUAUAUAAGCCACCCCCCUCCUCCGAGACAAGGGUUCGCACCCCUGUAAUUCAUACAUGCAUAAUCCAGUCGGCCGCCUUCGGGCUCUGAGACGUAGGGAUAUUACUUCCUCCGAGAAGGGCCUGAACUCGUAAACCUCGCGUGCUUACAACUUCUCCAUAGCUAAGAUCUUGCCUCUCCAUACCUACCCCCCUACAUCACUAUCAGACUUAGAACCACGACAGUUGGCGCCCACCAUGGGGCAGGUGUUUUAGCCUUUUGUUGGAGGAGUUGCAAUAUUUUCCGACCCGAAUCAUCAUGGUUUUUGACGGAGUUUUGGUGGAGGGCCGCGAGAUCCGUCUCGGCGCGCUCACGUUCAUCGCCGACGACUCCGCUUGGCUUCAGGAGGCUCCGCUCGACGUGGACGCACUCCCUGUCCGCGGGGCAACGCACUUUAGUGUGUGCGUCCGCGGCGUUCUCCUGCGGCAACCGUCGACCCCCUACCGGUCGGCUCAUGUGUCGUCCUCCCUCCCUGUUUCCCGCCGGCGCAAGCGCUCUGGUCGGUCGAGACUUCAACGGUGGGUGAGACACGUGGUGGCACGCCAGUCGGCCACCCCUCAAGUCGCGGCGAUCGAGCCCAACGAAUCCCUCUACGGCAUGUUCGACCUGUCGACUAGCUCCGUAGAGACCGCAUCCGAGUGCGACAGCAGCGAUCCGGUGGCGGAGGUUCUGAUGGUCGAUGGACCGCCCAGUCCUCCCGGUUUUCCCCGCACCGACGGAGGCGCGGGUGGAGGCGACCCGUCGCGUCCCCAUGAGGAAUAUCUUCCCAAGCCUCUCACGUCGCUGCAGAGAGAAGAACUUCGCCGCCGGAACAUGGAUGCACUGCACACUCCUAUUGUUGGAGAAACCCCCGAGGCUCGUGCCUUGGAGGACGCGCGCCUGGCAAACUUGGCCGAGCGCACUUGACUGGAGAACCUCCAGCGAGCACUCGACGAGCGUGCGUGACAACGGGUUCCCGAAUCCAGUCGACGUCAGCUCUUCCCGCCCCCGCAGGUAUAUCGAACUCCGAUUCAGAAUUUAGCAGAUGCAGCCCAUAUAGCAGAGUCGAUUCAGCCUUCCCAGUCGGAGGUUGGCAGAGGCUUGCUGCAGAUCAGAGCGUUACUCCAGGCAGCAAGAGACCAGAAUUCCGUUGUUUCUUAGUCGCGAAACAGGAUUCACAGUAGAUCAGUUGCCGCGGACACAGUCCAGUCGGCUCAUAGCCGAAGAUUGCCCCCGAGGUGUGAGGGAUGUGGGGACCGGCGUAAUCAAUAUGGGAACCGUGAGAAAUAUGAUCACCGAUUCGAUCGUGAUGAUCGGCGUCGAGUGCCCACCCCUCCCCCGAGGAGCGGGUCAUAUGUGCCUUGACAACAGGAUGACAGGCGCCCUCGUAGUGUUGGGCGAAGGAUUCCAGUCGACUCCAGGGAGCCAGGCUUUGAUGCGAGAUCCAUUCUCGUUCAAGGUUUGGUCGACAGGAACAGAGCUCACCGGGAAAGUCACAACAGAGAUGCUCCUGCCAGCAGCAGAGCACAUGUUUCAGGGCCAGAGUGCUUUAGUAGAGCCAUCAGGGCCGCUGUGAUUCCUCCCAACUUCAGGUUGGCGACUGGAGUCAGCAAGUUCACUGGCAUGUCCAAGCCCGAUACUUGGCUUGAAGACUACCAAGUGGCCGUCCAGAUUGGCGGCGGCAAUGAUGAAGUGGCCAUGAAGCACCUGCCUCUCAUGUUGGAGGGCUCGGCCAGAGCAUGGCUGAACCAGUUAGCACCCAACAGCAUUUACACUUGGGAAGAUCUCGCCCGAGUGUCUGUCACCACAUUUGAAGGAACAUGAAAGCGGCCGGCAGGGCUGACGGAACUGCGGUCUUGCGUGCAGAAGCCGAAUGAAACCUUGAGGGAUUACAUCCUGAGGUGGAUCACGUUGCAUCACACGGUAGAGAAUGUGCCUGACCACCAAGUAGUCUGUGCCUUCAAGGAAGGCGUCAAGUACAGAGAACUGAAUCUGAAAUUUGGUCGGACCGGAGAUAUGUCUCUAAACCGGAUGAUGGAGAUUGCCACCAAGUACGCUAAUGGUGAAGAUGAGGAUCGACUCAGGAGUGGCAAGCUCAAAUCAGUCGCCCAAGAAACCGGAGGAAAUCCCAAUCGGAAACAGAAGCGGAAAGCCGAGCCAACUGCUCUUGGGCAAGCCUUAGCUGUAACCCAAGGAAAGUUUAAAGGGAAACCUAAAGGACCUUGGAACCCCAAGAAAGUUAAAGACCAGGACAGAAAUGAUGUGUUGGAUUUGCCAUGUCUCGUCCACACCAAGAAAGAUGAAGAGGGUAAUUUCAUUUACCCGAAACAUACCACUCGACAGUGUCGACUCUUGAUCCAGCAGUUCCAGGGCAAGCAGCCCAAAGAUAAGGAAAAGGAGUCGGACAAAGUUGAGGACAAGGAAGAUAGUGACGACGGAUACCCUCAGGUCAAUUCCACUCUGAUGAUUUUUGCUGAUGUUGAAAGCAAAAGUUGACUGAAAGUUAUCAACUGAGAGGUGAAUAUGGUCGCUCCGGCGACACCCAGUUAUCUGAAGUGGUCUCAGACUGCCAUAACAUUCGACCGGUCCGAUCACCCAACACACAUCGCCACCCCUGGGAGGCAAGCUUUGGUGGUCGACCCAGUUGUUGAAGGCACUCGACUGACCAAAGUCUUGAUGGAUGGUGGCAGUGGUUUGAACAUACUAUAUGCUGAGACGUUGAAGGGGAUGGGCAUUUCGAUGUCCAGACUCAGUGCCAGCAACAUGAGUUUCCAUGGAGUCAUUCCUGGGAAGAAGGCUGAAUCACUCGGCCAGAUUGCUCUUGAUGUGGUUUUCGGUGAUUCCAAGAAUUACCGCAAAGAAAAGUUGACAUUUGAAGUUGUAGACUUCCAGAGUGCCUACCACGCUAUUUUGGGCAGGUCGGCUUAUGGACGCUUCAUGGCCCGACCAUGUUAUGUGUAUCUCAAAUUGAAGAUGCCUGGCCCCAAAGGUGUGAUCACUAUUACGGGAAAUCGGAAGAAAGCAGAAGAAUGUUUUCAGAAAGGUUCGAAGAUCGUCGAUGCUCAGAUGGCAGUGGUGGAGUUGCAGGAAUACCAGAAGACUGCAGACCCGAGGGAUUUGUUGCGAGCCAAGAAGCCCGCUACAGAAUCACCUUUUCAGUCGACUGGCGAUACGAAGACAGCUCACAUCCACCCGACCGACCCCAGCGCUGCUCCAACUCAUAUCUUGACAACACUCGACUCCAAAUAGGAAGAAGCGCUCAUCCAGUUCCUCCGUGAGUGUAACAUCCCAAAUUUCCAAUUUGGAAUGUUAUACAUUAGAUCAUCAUUGCAUACCAUAUUUUAAUUUUGCAUUUUGGUUGAUCCUAGAAAUUCUACGCAACUCAAGGACCCACGGAGAGAGUUGGUGAUUUCGUUAUUUUCAUAUUUGAGUUUUCUCAAAUUUUGAGAAUAGGAUAAUUUGAUUUUAUUUAUUUUAUCAUCAAUUAUUUCUAAUACAAAAUAAUAUGAGAGAGGGAAUAAAAUGACUUUCCCAAAAUAAAGAAAUAUUGAGGAUUUAAUAAUAAAAUCAAAUAAGAUUUUAUUUCGGAGUUUUUUGGUGUUUUAUUUAGGAAAAAUGUGUGUUUUUCAAAAUUGCAUUUAGGUCCCAAAUAAAUGUUCACCUUGUGCGGCUUGAUUUUAGAAGCCCGUGAAAAUUUAUUUCGGAAUUUUGGAGUCUGUUUAGUAUUUCCUUUUAUUUUUCUUCCGAGCGAAAUUAUUAAAAAAAAGUGUGCACCGACCUACGGGCCGUGUCCGACCUGGACACCGGCCCGGGCAGGCUUUAUAAGCCGGGGAGAGGCCCAGCCCCAGCCCCAGCAAAUCCCUAGCCGCCCCNNNNNNNNNNNNNNNNNNNNNNNNNNNNNNNNNNNNNNNNNNNNNNNNNNNNNNNNNNNNNNNNNNNNNNNNNNNNNNNNNNNNNNNNNNNNNNNNNNNNNNNNNNNNNNNNNNNNNNNNNNNNNNNNNNNNNNNNNNNNNNNNNNNNNNNNNNNNNNNNNNNNNNNNNNNNNNNNNNNNNNNNNNNNNNNNNNNNNNNNNNNNNNNNNNNNNNNNNNNNNNNNNNNNNNNNNNNNNNNNNNNNNNNNNNNNNNNNNNNNNNNNNNNNNNNNNNNNNNNNNNNNNNNNNNNNNNNNNNNNNNNNNNNNNNNNNNNNNNNNNNNNNNNNNNNNNNNNNNNNNNNNNNNNNNNNNNNNNNNNNNNNNNNNNNNNNNNNNNNNNNNNNNNNNNNNNNNNNNNNNNNNNNNNNNNNNNNNNNNNNNNNNNNNNNNNNNNNGAUUCCGCCGCCCGAGGUUUGACGCGCCUCGACUUCCGUGCCAUCGGUUUUAAAAAAAAAAUAGAUCGGUUUUCGUCGGUUUUUCCGUCGGUUUUUUUAGAUUCGUUUUUUUUAAAUAGAUCGGUUUUUCAGGUUUAUUUAAAUAGUGAGCGUUCUUCCGUUCGUUUGUUCUAACGAGCGUUCAUCAUUUUUCUUUUUCUCGGAUUAAAUCCGCGAUUUUUCUGAUCGCGAUUCCUGAUCCGAUUUUCGUUUUAGUAUAACUUUUCGCUCGCUUAUCGGAAUCAGGCGAUUCAAGCACCUCGAGUUCCGUAUCGAAACCCUCCAUCCGUUUAACCAACUUAAACAAGAUUUUGUUACUGUAAAUUUUCCCUAGAUCCAGAUUACUAGAACAAAGUUGUUUUCUUUCGCCGUUUGACUUUCGUUGUUUCAUUCGAUUUGAUUCUUUUUGCCAACCGGAGUUCUUAAGUUGAACCUUCUGGUUCGAUCUCUUAUUUGAGUUUUACCUGUGCAUUAGAUGAGUUCUUAUUGUAUGCUUGUUUGUUUGUUCGCGAUAGAGUACACGGAGUGCACCGCCUGUUACUUCGAAUCUCUAGGUUUCGCGGAUCAUCAGCAAGGCAAGUAACACUUUGAUCAUACCUUUCCUACUACCCAGUUUUAUUGCAUUAGAUCAAUCCUCGCACAUUGCAUGGUUAGGAUCUAACUAAAUUGUGGGGUGGGAAGUAGAUGAGGUAGUACCUAUUACCUGUUUAUUAUCGAACCUUCGGGAGUUACUUCUACGUUUGCUUAUUAUGCCAUGCUAUGCUAGUAGACGUGGAUUGGGUGAGUGAUAUCCAUGACAGAUGUGAGGUUGUUAAUUAAUGGUUUAACUAAGGUGGCAACUUAAACACACAUCUAGGUGGAUUGAGGCACCUGGGUAUUCUAGGACUUGCCUGUUUUCUUUUGGACCGCCACCCAGGCUCAAAGGGAUCAUGAGACUAUUCAUGCUAGAAACUUCCGUGUGCAGCCACAAGCUAUUAUGGGCUCUAGCAUAGUUGACUAAGUUGUGCGAACUCUUACAGUGGUAGACUAGCAGAUGUAGGGGAUGUAGGUGGUACGAUCUACCCGAUCGUAAGGUGCUAGCGCUUCUGAAAGACUAUGUCUCGGUCAUCCAUCUUCUCAAACACUAUGUAGUGCGAGAAACCAAACGGAGGCGAUCGAGUCUUGUGGGGAAAAGUGCGCAAACCUCAGAGUGUAAUAAACUAAUCAUGGUUAGCCGUGUUCCCGGUUAUGGACAUCUUGAGUAUCUAGUACUUGGUUAUCAUGUGAAUCUCAACAUGUUACUCUAAAUUAAUUUUGUUGGGUUAUGUUUAAUGAUGAUGCUUAAUUGGGAUUGAGAAUGCUGUCAACCAUUCUCCAUGUUUAACAACUACCAUGAAAGUUAAAUAAAUUUAUUCCUUUGAAGUAGGGGAAAAUUGUCUUUACGCAAAACUGUAACCAUAGAGCUUUCCACUAGCCAAAUAUGCAUAUAGUAUAGCUGUUUCAUUCCAUUACACUCUAUGUGUUACCUUGCCAGCAUAUUCCAUGUGCUGACCCAUUUUUGGGCUGCAACGUUAAUGUUGCAGACUUUUCAGACGACGAUUAAGGAGUUUUAGGUCAUGGUUCUAUACUCAGUGAUGCCGUUGGAGUUGAUGGACUCACUUAUCUUCCAAGCCUUCCGCUGUUAUCGUUAUUAGAUGGCCUUAAGCCAUAUUUAUUGUAAUAAGUUCUCUAUUGAGACACUCGAUGUAAUAAGUGUGUGAUUGCUACUCUGUUAUAAAUCCUCCGAGUACUGUGUGGUGUCAGCAUUACUGAUCCAGGGAUGACACCGAAGCACAGAGAUCAGACUGUUUGAGGUCUGGUCGCAAUAGAGAUGGUAUCAAAGCACACGCUGACUGUAGGACACGACCACUAUGCUAAAAGACCUAGAUCACUUUUCACUCUCUUCUCUUCUAACUUCUCAUCUUUUCUACUCUUUAGGAUGGCGGAUGCAAGGAACAAGUUCACGCAACUGGAUGAAGAUACACCCUUUGGACGUCACUUGAAGGAAGUCACUAGAUACCUGAAUAUAGGAGUACCAAGCUUCACCGGAACAUACAACUCCACUUUACCUGAAGAAGAGCGCUGGAUGAUUCAAGUUCAAGUUCCAGGAAGGACGUUCAUGCCAGUCACUGAGCCCGUAGAGUUUUCUUUUGAUGCACCAACUUGGAGUCUAGGAAAGAGCAUGGCAGCUCACAUCGCCAUGGGACGCAUUGGAGAAGUCUACCGCAAGGAUCUCAAGGAUACUAUCUACCAGAUUUGUGGGCGCCGAGAUGAGCACUGGGAGAUGAUCAGCACCAGGAAGGAUAGAUCAAUUGCAGCUUUUAUCCAGGAGUUAAACCAGCACAUUCGACAACAGGAGAACCAGAUGUGCGCCGACAUGACAGAUCUGAAGAAGGCUAAGACUAGAAUCAAGGAACUGGAGGAAGAACUCAAGGCUACACGUGAAGAUUAUGAAGAGGAAAUUGGAGUAUUGGUGGAGAACAAUGACGACCUGAUCAAGAAGAUUGGAAUAUUUAUGGGAGGCCCUACACCAGUAGAUGAAGACGAAGAACCCAAGGAGAUUCGCCCGGAAGACUACAUCAUCAUCGAUGGCACCGACUCGGAUCCAGAUAGUAGCGAUGAUGAUUAUGUUGAUGAAGCUAGAGCAGAUAUCAUGGAGUCUGCAACCGAUGAAUAUUUCUAGUAGACCACCUCAUCAGUAGUAGUAGUCCACCAUGUAAAUAUAGUAGUCUGAGCACUUUUGCGAUAGAUAGAUCGAUUGUAUGCCCUUGUUUGAUUGAAUGAAGUGAAUUGUUUGCUUUUGCCUCAUGUGCAUAUGGGUAGUGUUUUCUCUUAGACCCCUUCUAUUCUUACAUCUCAUCUUCUCUAAAACCCUCAGAUGCCUCCGAGACGUGACCCCAGAUUUGCCUUUCCACCGGAGCUCACCCAGUUGAUCUAGCAGUAGAACACAUUGAUGAAGAUGCUAGUCCAGAAUCAGAAUCAGGGGAACAACAACAAAAACCCACCACCACCACCACCACGUGUUGACCACUUAGCCCGUUUUCUUAGGCUGAAUUCACCGGUGUUUUCCAGCAGCACCGAGCCGAUAGUAGCAGAUGAUUGGCUCCGCAAGACAGCUAGGGAGUUGACCACAGCAGGAUGCACAGAUGCGGAGAAGGUGAAGUUUGCCGCACAUCAGCUAGAAGGACCCGCAGCAUCAUGGUGGGAGAAUUUCACAGCCACUUUCCCUGUCGACACUGUCACAUGGGACCAGUUUCAGCAGGCUUUUCAUACUGCACAUGUUUCAGCAGGAGCUAUGGCCAUGAAGAAGCGUGAGUUUCACAACUUGCGCCAAGGAGGACGGACAGUUGGCCAGUAUGUGGAGGAAUUUAGUAAGCUAGCACGUUAUGCCCCAGAUGACGUUGCUACAGAUGCAGCUAAGCAGGAGAAGUUUCUGGAAGGACUGAAUGAUGAGUUGAGCAUGCAGUUGAUGGUAGCCACCUUCAACAACUACCAGGAGUUGGUAGAUCGUGCUCUUAUGAUUGAAGGGAAGCAGCAGCAAAUUGAGAAUCGCAAGAGGAAGUAUGGACAAGGGAAGUACAAUUCAGGAGCUCAGCAGAAGCCACGUUUUACCCCUAGACCGGGAGGACAUUUUCAGCAUACCCAUGGAGGAGGUAGCUCGCACAACCACAAUGGCACCAAUAAUGGAAAUGGCAAUGGAGGAAGCAACGGCCAGAAUCGCACCAACCCAUCAACCCCAGCCAAGAAGGACCUGAGCCAAGUCACUUGCUUUAAGUGUCAGAAGACCGGACAUUAUGUCAAUGAAUGUCCUGAAGGCCAAAAUGGCAAUGGAAGUUCUGGGAAGAAGCUGAACCCUUUCAACAGGGGACAGGUGAACCACGUUAGCGUGGAGGAGGUUGAAGCUCAGCCCGAUGCAGUAAUAGGUAAGUUUUUGGUUAAGUCAUUUACUGCACUCGUUCUUUUUGAUACUGGUGCAUCGCAUUCAUACAUCUCAAGGGGAUUUGUGGAUAAGUAUAGCCUAUCAACCCAAGCCCUUAGGUCACCCAUGUUAGUAACCUCGCCUGGAGCUGAGUAUGUGGCUAGUCUAUGGUGUGAUCGGUUACCAUUAAGGAUUGGUAACUAUGUUUUUCCCUCAGACCUAAUAGAAUUGGAAUCCCAAGGAUUGGAUGUGAUAUUAGGCAUGGAUUGGUUAUCAAAGUAUGAAGGGAAUAUUGAAUGUGCUAGUAAGUCAAUUUUGCUUACCACCCCAGAAGGGAGAAGGAUCAAGUAUGUAUCCGACAUGUGCCAAAGAGGACCCAAGUAAAUUGCUUAACAGGAGUUGUGCAUGAGGAAGUACCAGUGGUAAGGGAUUUUCCUGAAGUAUUUCCAGAAGAGUUGCCAGGCAUGCCACCGGAUAGAGAUAUUGAGUUUUUGAUUGAGCUAUUGCCAGGCACAGGGCCAAUAUCAAAGAGACCAUAUAGGAUGCCAGCAAAGGAUUUGGUGGAAAUUAAGAAGCAGAUUAAGGAGCUACUAGAUAAAGGAUAUAUUCACCCAAGUUCUUCGCCUUGGGGAUCGCCAGUACUUCUAGUGGAGAAGAAGGAUGGAUCGUUAAGGAUGGUUGUUGAUUAUCGAGGAUUGAAUGAAGUAACGAUCAAGAACAAGUACCCACUACCAAUGAUCAACGAUCUGUUUGAUCGAUUGCAAGGAGCUAAGGUAUUUUCCAAGAUCGAUCUGCGAUCAGGAUACCACCAGUUGAAGAUUCGAGAACAGGAUAUUCCGAAGACAGCUUUUACCACCAGGUAUGGGCUGUAUGAGUAUACCGUUAUGUCAUUUGGUCUGACUAACGCACCUGCCUAUUUUAUGAACAUGAUGAACAAAGUGUUUAUGGAGUUUUUGGAUAAGUUCGUCCUAGUGUUCAUUGAUGAUAUCCUGGUUUAUUCGAAGAAUGAAGAGGAACAUAAGGAGCAUUUGCGUUUGGUACUUGGAAAGCUCGGAGAACAUCAAUUAUAUGCCAAGUUCAACAAAUGUGAGUUUUGGUUGAAGGAAGUAGGAUUCCUCGGACACGUUAUAUCUGGAGAAGGUAUAGCAGUUGAUCCCACUAAAGUUGAAACCGUGACCAAGUGGGAAGCCCCAACAACAAUUGGAGAGAUCCGGAGUUUUCUUGGACUAGCAGGAUACUACCGGAGAUUUAUUGAGAAUUUCUCAAAGAUUGCGAAGCCUAUGAUGGAGUUAUUAAAGAAAGAUACCAAGUUCAUAUGGACGGAGGAAUGUGAGGCUAGUUUCCAAGAGUUGAAGAAACGUUUGGUUACCUCACCAGUGUUGAUUUAGCCAGACCAGACCAAAGAUUAUGAGGUGUAUUGCGACGCUUCACGUCGAGGACUUGGAGCAGUGCUUAUGCAGGAACGGAGAGUUGUUUCAUAUGCCUCAAGACAACUGAAGCCUCACGAGUUAAAUUAUGCCACGCAUGAUUUGGAGUUAGCAGCCGUAGUGCAUGCUUUAAAAACAUGGAGGCAUUUCCUCAUUGGAAAUCAUUGUGAGGUGUACACGGAUCAUAAGAGUUUGAAUUACAUUUUCACCCAGAAGGAGUUGAAUCUCAAACAAAGGAGAUGGUUGGAGCUUAUCAAGGAUUAUGAUAUGAAAUCGCAUUAUCACCCCGGAAAGGCUAAUGUAGUAGCUGACGCAUUAAGCCGUAAGAGCCAUGUCAACAUGCUAAUGACGGGAGAAAUACCCAAGGAGUUAGCAGAAAAUCUUCGUGAACUAUGUGUGGAAAUAGUUCCGAGAGGCUAUGUAGCAACAUUGGAGAUUCAGUCAACUUUGAUGGAUAGAAUCAGGGAAGCUCAGAAAACUGACAAAGAGAUUGCCGCUAUAAAGGAGAAACUGAGAAAAGGAAAAGAUAAAGGAUUUCGUGAGGAUGAGCACGACACCCUAUGGUUUGAAGACCGUGUUUAUGUGCCCAAUGACCCAGAGAUUAGGAAGUUGAUUCUGCAAGAGGCACACGAUUCACCAUAUUCGAUUCACCUAGGAAACACCAAGAUGUAUUUGGAUUUGAAGGAUAUUUUCUGGUGGACCGGAAUGAAGAAGGAUAUUGCAGAGUAUGUAGCAGUUUGUGAUGUAUGUCAGAGAGUAAAGGCAGAGCAUCAGAAGCCAGCCGGAUUGUUACAACCAUUGCCGAUACCCGAAUGGAAGUGGGAUAAGCUGGGCAUGGAUUUUAUCACGGGAUUGCCCAGGACUCGUUUAGGCUAUGACUCGAUUUGGGUUGUAGUUGAUCGAUUGACGAAAGUAGCUCAUUUCAUCCCAGUAAAGACCACUUACACCAGUGCUAAGUUGGCAAAGAUAUACAUGACCAGGAUCGUAUGUCUGCAUGGAGUUCCAAGGAGUAUCGUAUCAGAUAGAGGAACCCAGUUUACCUCAAAGCUCUGGAAGCAGUUGCACGAAACUUUGGGUACCAGGAUAGAAUUCAGUACAGCUUUUCAUCCACAGACAGAUGGACAGACCGAGAGAGUAAAUCAGAUUUUGGAGGAUAUGCUGAGAGCUUGUGCGCUAGAUUAUGGAUCUAGUUGGGACGAUAAUUUGCCAUAUGCAGAGUUCUCCUACAACAACAGUUACCAAACCAGUUUAAAGAUGACCCCUUUCGAAGCCUUGUACGGAAGGAGGUGCAGGACACCGUUAUCAUGGGACGAAGUUUGAGACCGCCAGUUGUUUGGACCUGAUUUGCUUAAAGAGUCUGAACAAGAGGUGAAGUUGAUUCGCGAUAGGCUCAAGGUAGCCCAGUCCAGACAGAAGAGCUAUGCAGAUUCUAAACGCAAGGAGACAGUUUACGAAGUCGGAGAUAGAGCUUAUCUUCGAGUAUCUCCACUUUGGGGAACAAACGUUUUGGAGUUAAAGGGAAGUUAGCGCCACGAUUUGUAGGACCCUAUCGAGUUUUGGAACGUAUCGGAGAAGUGCCCUACAAGUUGGAAAUGCCUGAAGGAUUGUCAGGAGUUCAUGAUGUGUUCCACGCUUCUCAGUUAAAGAAAUGUCACGCGGAGAUGGCUGACAUACCGUUGAGAGAUACAAUGCCUUUGGAAACUAUUCAGUUGGAUAACGAUUUGACCUACGAGGAGAAACCAAUUAAGAUCCUCGAAUUUGCCAGUCGAGUCACUCGCAGCAAGGUUAUCAAGUUUUGCAAAGUUCAGUGGAGCCACCACACAGAGGAUGAAGCCACCUGGGAACGGGAGGAAGAUUUGCUCAAGGACCACCCUCACCUAUUUUCUAGCCAACCUGAAUCUCGAGGGCGAGAUUCAUCUUAAGGGGGGUAGGUUUGUAACAUCCCAAAUUUCCAAUUUGGAAUGUUAUACAUUAGAUCAUCAUUGCAUACCAUAUUUUAAUUUUGCAUUUUGGUUGAUCCUAGAAAUUCUACGCAACUCAAGGACCCACGGAGAGAGUUCGGGAUUUCGUUAUUUUCAUAUUUGAGUUUUCUCAAAUUUUGAGAAUAGGAUCAUUUGAUUUUAUUUAUUUUAUCAUCAAUUAUUUCUACUACAAAAACAUAUGAGAGAGGGAAUAAAAUGACUUUUCCAAAAUAAAGAAAUAUCGAGGAUUUAAUAAUAAAAUCAAAUAAGAUUUUAUUUUGGAGUUUUUCGGUGUUUUAUUUGAAUUUAGGAAAAAUGUGCGUUUUUCAAAAUUGCAUUUAGGUCCCAAAUAAAUGUUCACCUUGUGCGGCUUGAUUUGAGAAGCCCGUGAAAAUUUAUUUCGGAAUUUUGGAGUCCGUUUAGUAUUUCUUUUUAUUUUUCUUCUGAGCGAAAUUAUUUUAAAAAAAGUGCGCACCGACCUACGGGCCGUGUCCGACCUGGACACCGGCCCGGGCGGGCUUUAUGAGCCGGGGAGAGGCCCAGGCCCAGCCCCAGCAAACCCAAGCCGCCCCGUGCCCCAAGCGCNNNNNNNNNNNNNNNNNNNNNNNNNNNNNNNNNNNNNNNNNNNNNNNNNNNNNNNNNNNNNNNNNNNNNNNNNNNNNNNNNNNNNNNNNNNNNNNNNNNNNNNNNNNNNNNNNNNNNNNNNNNNNNNNNNNNNNNNNNNNNNNNNNNNNNNNNNNNNNNNNNNNNNNNNNNNNNNNNNNNNNNNNNNNNNNNNNNNNNNNNNNNNNNNNNNNNNNNNNNNNNNNNNNNNNNNNNNNNNNNNNNNNNNNNNNNNNNNNNNNNNNNNNNNNNNNNNNNNNNNNNNNNNNNNNNNNNNNNNNNNNNNNNNNNNNNNNNNNNNNNNNNNNNNNNNNNNNNNNNNNNNNNNNNNNNNNNNNNNNNNNNNNNNNNNNNNNNNNNNNNNNNNNNNNNNNNNNNNNNNNNNNNNNNNNNNNNNNNNNNNNNNNNNNNNNNNNNNNNNNNNNNNNNNNNNNNNNNNNNNNNNNNNNNNNNNNNNNNNNNNNNNNCGCCGCCGCCGCCCGCCGCCGCACGUGCCGCCGCCGCCGGAGUUUGCCGCCCGAGGUUCACCGAGCCUCGACUUCCGUGCCAUCAGUUUUUUUUAGAAAAAAUAGAUCGGUUUUCGUCGGUUUUUCCGUCGGUUUUUUUUAGAUUCGGUUUUUUUAAAUAGAUCAGUUUUCCGGUUUAUUUAAAUAGUGAGCGUUCGUCCGUUCAUUCAUUCUAACGAACGUUCAUUGUUUUUCUUUUUCUCGGAUUAAAUCCACGAUUUUUCUGAUCGCGAUUCCUGAUCCGAUUUUCGUUUUAGUAUAACUUUUCGCUCGUUUAUCGGAAUCAGACGAUUCUAGCGCCUGGAGUUUCGUCUCGAAACCCUCUAUCUGUUUAACCAACUUAAACAAGAUUUUGCUACUGUAAAAUUUGCCCUAUAUCCAGAUUACUAGAACGAAGUUGUUUUCUUUCGUCGUUUGACUUUCGUUGUUUUGUUCGAUUUGAUUCUUUUUGCCAACCGGAGUUCUUAAGUUGAACCUUCUGGUUAGAUCUCUUAUUUGAGUUUUACCUGUGCAUUAGAUGAGUUCUUAUUGUAUGCUUGUUUGUUUGUUUGCGAUAGAGUACCCGGAGUGCGCCGCCUGUUACUUCGAAUCUCUAGGUUUCGCGGAUCAUCAGCAAGGCAAGUAACACUUUGAUCAUACCUUUCCUACUACCCAGUUUUAUUGCAUUAGAUCAAUCCUCACACAUUGCAUGGUUAGGAUCUAACUAAAUUGUAGGAUGGGAAGUAGAUGAGGUAGUACCUAUUACCUGUUUAUUAUCGAACCUUUAGGAGUUACUUCUACGUUUGCUUAUUAUGCCAUGCUAUGCUAGUCGACGUGGAUUGGGUGAGUGAUAUCCAUGACAUAUGUGAGGUUGUUAAUUAAUGGUUUAACUAAGGUGGCAACUUAAACACACAUCUGGGUGAAUUGAGGCACCUGGGUAUUCCAGGACUUGCCUGUUUUCUUUUGGACCGCCACCUAGGCUCAAAGGGAUCAUGAGAGUAUUCAUGCUAGAAACUUCUGUGUGCAGCCACAAGCUAUUAUGGGCUCUAGCAUAGUUGACUAAGUUGUGCGAACUCUUACAGUGGUAGACUAGCAGAUGUAGGGGAUGUAAGUGGUACGGUCUACCCGAUCGUAAGGUGCUAGCACUUCUGAAAGACUAUGUCUCGGUCAUCCGUCUUCUCAAACACUAUGUAGUGCGAGAAACCAAACGGAGGCGAUCGAGUCUUGUGGGGAAAAGUGCGCAAACCUCUGCAGAGUGUAAUAAACUAAUCAUGGUUAGCCGUGUCCCUGGUUAUGGACAUCUUGAGUAUCUAGUACUUGGAUUAUCAUGUGAAUCUCAACAUGUUACUCUAAAUUAAUUUUGUUGGGUUAUGUUUAAUGAUGAUGCUUAAUUAGGAUUGAGAAUGCUGUCAACCAUUCUCAAUGUUUAACAACUACCAUGAUAGUUAAAUAAAUUUAUUCCUUUGAAGUAGGGAAAAAUUGGCUUUACGCAAAACUGUAACCAUAGAGCUUUCCACUAGCCAAAUAUGCAUAUAGUAUAGUUGUUUCAUUCCAUUACUCUCUAUGUGUUACCUUGCCAGCAUAUUCCAUGUGCUGGCCCAUUUUCGGGCUACAACGUUAAUGUUGCAGACUUUUCAGACGAUGAUUAAGGAGUUUUAGGUCGUGGUUCUAUACUCAAUGAUGCCGUAGGAGUUGAUGGACUCACUUAUCUUCCAAGCCUUCCGCUGUUAUCGUUAUUAGAUGGCCUUAAGCCAUAUUUAUUGUAAUAAGUUCUCUAUUGAGACACUCGAUGUAAUAAGUGUGUGAUUGCUACUCUAUUAUAAAUCCUCCGAGUACUGUGUGGUGUCAGCAUUACUGAUCCAGGGAUGACACCAGAGCACAGAGAUCAGACUGUUUGACGUCUGGUCGCAACAGUGAGAACUGGGACAUUUUCGCAUGGAAGCCUUCUGACAUGACGGGUGUUCCCAGGGAGCUGGCUGAGCACCGCCUAAGAGUCGACUCAUAAGUAAAACCUGUCAAGGAACAUCUCCGACGGUCCGCUGUCCAGAAGAGAAAGGCCAUUGGCGAGGAGGUAGCUCGGCUCUUAGCUGCGGAGUUCAUCCGAGAAAUCUACCACUCUGAGUGGCUCGCCAACGUUGUUAUGGUCCCCAAGAAGGACAAGUCACUUCGCAUGUGCAUUGACUUUAAACAUAUCAAUCGGGCUUGCCCGAAAGAUCAUUUUCCUCUCCCCCGCAUCGAUCAGAUAGUCGACUCGACUACGGGAUGUAAGCAACUGUCUUUUUAGACGCCUAUUCCGGGUACCAUCAGAUCUGUCUGUAUGGACCUGACGAGAUCAAAACAGCCUUCAUCACUCCAUUCGGGUGCUUUUGUUAUGUUACCAUGCCGUUCGGCCUCAAGAAUGCCGGAGCCACAUUCAUGAGGAUGAUUCAGAAGUGUUUGCUCAUUCAAAUCAGUCAGAAUGUGGAGGCGUACAUGGAUGAUAUUGUGGUCAAGUCACGGAAGGGUUCCGACCUACUGACUGACCUUGCUGAAACCUUUGCCAACCUCAGGAGGUAUGAUAUCAAGCUUAAUCCAUCAAAGUGCACAUUCGGAGUUCCUGGCGGAAAAUUACUCGGUUUUCUCGUUUUCGAACGGGAAAUCGACGUCAAUCCAGAAAAAGUCGGUACUAUACUCGGAAUGAAAAGUCCUGUGCGAGUGCACGACGUCCAGAAGCUUACUGGUUGCUUGGCCGCCCUAAGUCGAUUCAUAUCUCGUCUCGGUGAAAAGGCAUUGCCUCUUUACCGAUUGAUGAAGAAGUCUGACAAGUUCGAGUGGACUCCUGAAGCUGAUGCAGCGUUUGCAGAGCUCAAAGCUCUACUCUCCACCCAGACAGUGCUUGCUGCCCCAAUCAGCAAGGAGCCUUUGCUGCUUUACAUUGCAGCCACAGGACAAGUUGUCAGUAUGGUACUUAUGGUCGAGCGGGAAGAAGAAGGAAAAACCUUCAAAGUUCAGCGCCCAGUAUAUUAUAUUUCUGAAGUCUUGACCCCAUCGAAGCAAAGAUAUUCUCAUUAUCAGAAGCUUGUAUAUGGGAUUUAUAUGACCACAAAGAAAGUUGCCUACUACUUCUCUGAUCAUUCCAUUAUAGUCAUCAGCGAUGCUCCAUUGUCAGAGAUCCUGCAUAACAGGGAUGCAACUGGUCGAGUGGCAAAAUGGGCGAUUGAACUCCUUCCUCUAGAUAUCAAGUUUGAGGCAAAGAAAGCUAUCAAGUCCCAGGCAAUCGCAGAUUUCGUCGCCGAGUGGAUUGAACAACAACUGCCGACUCAGGUUCACUCAGAGCAUUGGACCAUGUUCUUCAACGGUUCCAAGAUGCUGAAUGGUUCCGGUGCCGGAGUGGUGUUGGUCUCCCCCAGAGGAGAUAAACUCAGAUAUGUUCUUCAAGUCCACUUUGAUUCCUCCAAUAACGAGGCAGAAUACGAAGCACUUUUAUAUGGGUUGCGCAUGGCCAUUUCACUCGGCGUCCAUCCCCUCAUGGUCUAUGGUGACUCGGAUUUGGUGGUUAAUCAGGUGAUGAAGGAAUGGGACGUCAGAAGUCUAGCCAUGACUGGUUAUUGCAAUGCAGUGAGAAAGCUAGAGAAGAAAUUCAAGGGGUUAGAGCUUCAUCACAUACCCCGACUGAAAAAUCAAGCAGCUGAUGAUCUGGCAAAAAUAGGUUCCAAAAGAGAAGCCAUUCCCAGCAAUGUGUUUUCGGAACACAUCCACACACCAUCAGUUCAGGACGAUCCCUUCACUGAAGAGGCCCUGCAGCCAAAAAGUGCCACGGAUCCGACUGAAGUUGAAAUUCCAGCUGUGGUCGACCUGAUCAUGGAAGUCUUGGUCAUCACUCCCGUCUGGACACUACCGUACAUCGCGUACAUCCUAAGGAAAGAACUCCUAGAGGACGAAGAAGAGGCUCGACAGAUCGUCCGUCGAUCCAAGGCCUUUACAGUCAUAAAGGUACAGUUAUAUAGAGAAAGCGCGACUGGGGUCAGCCAGAAGUGUAUUACACCAGAAGAAGGUCAGAUGAUCCUUGAUGAUAUCCACUCGGGGACAUGUGGUCAUCAUGCGUCCUCUCGGACCAUUGUGGCUAAAGCAUACAGAGCGGGAUUCUACUGGGCAAGAGCCAAUGAAAUGGCAAAGGAGAUAGUCGACAAAUGUGAAGGAUGUUAGUAUUACUCCAAUAUGUCACACAAGCCCAUGUCAGCCCUGAAAACCAUUCCGCUCGUCUGGCCCUUCGCUGUUUGGGGGCUGGACAUGGUUGGACCACUGAGAACGGGCAGGAGCGGCUUCACUCAUGUACUGGUAGCAGUCGACAAGUUCACCAAAUGGAUUGAAGCCAAGCCUAUCAAGAAUCUUGAUGCUUGCACUGCUAUCAGUUUCAUCAGAGAGUUGAUAUUCAGAUAUGGAGUUCCGCAUAGCAUCAUCACUGACAAUGGGUCAAACUUCGAUUCCGACAAAUUCAGGGCCUUUUGCGCCUCUCAGGGCACUCGGGUCGGCUAUGCUUCGGUCGCUCACCCCCAGUCGAAUGGGCAAGCAGAAAGGGCAAACGGCCUAAUUCUCAAAUGGUUGAAACCCCAAUUGAUGCGUGAUCUCAAGCACGCAGCAGGUGCAUGGGUCGACGAGCUUCCAUCAGUCCUUUGGGGAUUGAGAACAACCCCGAACCGGUCGACCGGAAGAACCCCAUUCUUUCUGGUCUACGGAGCCGAGGCAGUCUUGCCGAGUGACCUGCUUCACAACGCUCCCUGAGUCGAGCUCUACUCUGAAGAUGAAGCAGAACAAGCCCGGCAGGACGCAGUCGACCUCCUGGAAGAAGAAAGAGAAAUGGCCAUGAUCCGAUCAACCAUCUAUCAGCAAGACUUGCGUCGAUUCCAUGCCAGAAACGUGAAGAGUCGAGCCUUCCAAGAAGGAGACUUAGUCCUCCGAGUGGAUCAGCAGAAACCACACAAACUCGCUCCUACUUGGGAAGGCCCCUUCAUAGUCACCAGAGUCCUCCACAAUGGAGCAUACCACCUCUACAAUGUCGAUUGCCAGAUUGAUGAGCUGCGAGCCUGGAAUACGAAGCUCCUCCACCCCUUUUAUACUUGAAUUCUCACUCGGAUGAGAUGUAAUAAGAAAAAGCUCCUGUAGUUUAUUUAUCAAAGACAAGAGCCUUAUAAUUUUCCCAGUGAUUGUUAUUGUUUUUUGUUUUCCCCAGUGGGUGGCUUAGCUGCGAAUCCGCUUCGCCUAAGUUUGAAAAAAAUCCUACUGAGUGGAGAGCAGUCCUCCCACUCGGGGGCUUAGUUGCAGUCCAGUACUCGCCUAAGUUCUCUCACUUGAGGACAUAGCUGCAGUCAGGCACUCUCCUAAGUUUGAAAAAAUCCUACCGAGUGGAGAGCAGUCCUCCCACUCGGGGGCUUAGCUGCAGUCCAGUACUCGCCUAAGUUCUCUCACUUGAGGACAUAGCUGCAGUCAGGCACUCGCCUAAGUUUGAAAAAAUCCUACCGAGUGGAGAGCAGUCCUCCCACUCGGGGGCUUAGCUGCAGUCCAGUACUCGCCUAAGUUCUCUCACUUGAGGACAUAGCUGCAGUCAGGCANNNNNNNNNNNNNNNNNNNNNNNNNNNNNNNNNNNNNNNNNNNNNNNNNNNNNNNNNNNNNNNNNNNNNNNNNNNNNNNNNNNNNNNNNNNNNNNNNNNNNNNNNNNNNNNNNNNNNNNNNNNNNNNNNNNNNNNNNNNNNNNNNNNNNNNNNNNNNNNNNNNNNNNNNNNNNNNNNNNNNNNNNNNNNNNNNNNNNNNNNNNNNNNNNNNNNNNNNNNNNNNNNNNNNNNNNNNNNNNNNNNNNNNNNNNNNNNNNNNNNNNNNNNNNNNNNNGCUGCAGUUAGGCACUCGCCUAAGUUUGAAAAAAUCCUACCGAGUGGAGAGCAGUCCUCCCAUUCGUGGGCUUAGCUGCAGUCCAGUACUCUCCUAAGUUCUCCCACUUGAGGACUUAGCUGCAGUCAGGCACUCGCCUAAGUUUGGAAAAAUCCUACCGAGUGGAGAGCAGCCCUCCCACUCGGGGGCUUAGCUGCAGUCCAAUACUCGCCUAAGUUCUCUCACUUGAGGACUUAGCUGCAGUCAGGCACUCGCCUAAGUUUGAAAAAAUCCUACUGAGUGGAGAGCAGUCCUCCCAUUCGGGGGCUUAGCUGCAGUCUAGUACUUGCCUAAGUUCUCUCACUUGAGGACUUAGUUGCAGUCAAGCACUCGCCUAAGUACAAAACACAUCCCGCUCUGCAGUAACAAGGUGCAGGUCGACGGCCACCUCCUCCUUGGGGAGCUUCGCCACAAAUACAACGUGCACUCCAUCCUGCUCUGCAGUAACAAGGUGCAGGUCGACGGCCACCUCCUCCUUGGGGAGCUUUGCCACAAAUACAACAUGCACUCCAUCCUGCUCCGCAGUAACAAGGUCGAUUGCCACCUCCUCCUUUGGGAGCUUCGCCACAAAUACAACGAGCGCUCCAUCGCUGAUCCGCAAGGACGACGAGGUGCAGGUCGACUGCUACCUUCUCCUUCGGAGUUGCGCCACAAAUACAAAAAAGUUGUCUCGAAUGAAGAACUAUUUCCACUCGAUGGGGGAUUCAUAAAGAUAUUCAACGAUAAACUAAGUUCAGAUAAAUCCUAAAGGUUCCGUACCAUAGAUCAAAGUGCUCAGGCAUUCAGCCCGAAAGAGUUUAACGGUUACAAAAACCACUCGGCAUUCCGAGGAAAAUAUAAGGUGAGGCAUAAAAGUUUGUUCACUCCGCAGGAGGAGGGCUAGCAGGCUCGACGAACUCAUCCAGGUCAACGCCGUCGGCGAUCCGAGUGGCUGCAGCAAUGAAAGUCUCCAUAAAAGUUCGGAAGUCAUCCUUUUGGGUGUUGGCGACCUUGAUUGCUGCCAGUUUGUCUUGUCGCACCUCCUUGUAGUGGACACGAACCAAAGACAGAGCCACAUCAGCGCCACACCAAGCAGAAGACUUCUUCCACUCCUGCACUCGGUCAGGGAUUUUGUUAAGUCGAGUCAUCAGGGACUCAAGAUCAUUUUGGACUGCGGCCUCUGGCCAAAGUGCCGGGUUGAUCCGUGACAUGGCGACCUUCAGUCGAGCCAAGUAGUCCACGACACCGUCGAUGCGGGAUUCCAGUUGGAGCAGAUUCAUGGCAGUUUCAUCUUUCACGGGAGAAUUGAUUGGAUCCAAACCAGGUUCGAUCCGCCCAGUCUCCUCCUCGAAGUUCUGGCAAAAUUCCGCAUUACGAUCCAAGAAUAAUUCAAUUUACAUACGCUGAGUCGACACAAAAAAAUCAGUCGGAACAAAAUGUGCACCUUCAAGCUUGAUGAACAACUUCUUGGCAAGGCUCCUCAGAUAGCUCUCCAGAUCGUCCCUCCUGCGAGCGAUGCCUUCCAUCUUCUCGCCCAGGUUGAGGAUCUCCUUCUUCUAGCGGGAGCACUCCUUGUUGGCUUCGUUCAGAGAAGAUUUCAGCUUGGUAUUCUCUUCUUUCAACUGGCCGACCGAAGCCAGCUUCUGUUCAGCCAGAGCGAGUCUGUCGUCAGCUUCCUUGCGAGCAGCAGUCAAAUCCUGAUCCUUGUUCGCCAGAGCUUCUCUUAGUUUUUCUGCAAAGAAACAAUGCUUGGUUCAUAAAGAGCGGAAGGGUACUCAAGCCUAAGACGGACUAGUCGACAAACUCGUCUUACCAGUGGCGUCGUCCUUGACUUUUUGCAGCUCUGUCUUGGCCAGCUCCAAGUCAAGGUUUAGUUGGAUCUGCUGUCUCUCCAAGUCAGCAAAGCGAGCUCCAAGAUCACAAGAUUCUGAAAUCAAAGAGGAGAAGUUAUUUUACAGCGAAAAAUGACAGGGACAAUAAGUACUAAGACUACGGUUGACUGCCCGCAGUCCACCAUAGUCUCGGGGACUACACCCAGUGGGUGCACUUUGCGUGCCCCCACCGGUUCUGAUCCCACUCGACCAGCCCGUCGGAGUCGAGUGCAGGGAGUAAAAAAGGGAGAGAAAAUAGAACUCAGACCACAGUCGACUGCCAGUAGUCGACCGUGGUCUCGGGGACUACACCCAAUGGGUGCACUUGACGUGCCCCCACCGGUUCUGAUCCCACUCGACUAGACCGAGUGGAAGGGACAAACUACAGACUACAGUCGACUGCCAGCAGUCCACUGUAGUCUCGGGGACUACACCCAGUGGGUGCACUCAGCGUGCCCCCACUAGUUCAAAAAUUCACACCCAGUGGGUGUACAGAUGCAAAGAUUUUCAGAAAGAGUCUUCAGGUAGCAUAUCCUAACAGAACAAGCAGCAACCAACUAAUCUAAACGUUGCUCUGGAGAGCCGAGCUGGCAUCAUAGGCGGCCUGGCUGGCGUCCCGCACCGUCUUCAUCUGCUCCAUCAUAAUGCCCACCUGGCGUAUGGCUUCCUUGGCAGCAUUCACUUCGUCCUCUGGGACGUGAUGGGUUGCAAAAACCGAAGGAGGGUCGACAGGGGCCUGAGCAGUCGAUGAAGAAGGCAAGGCACUCGACAAGGGCAUAGCGAAGGUAACAGAACCCCGAUUGGCAUCACCAGCGUCCUGAACAACUGGCUCCGUCCUCGGCGUCGAUUGUGGCACCGCGCUUGCAGGAACUUGCCUAUUUCUCCUCGUUAAAGGCCUCUCGGGCUCUUCAUCAUCAUCAUCAGGGAGGUCAAUAACACUAGGGGCUGUUCAAAGUUCAAUCGACAAAAUCAUAUCACCCAAUGGUACACAUUGCAGUUGAAUCGACCAAAAUAAAGACAGAAUGGCAGAAAUCAUACCCAGAUUAGAAGUGACCGCAUUCUCCGUCACCUUAUCAUCGUCCCUAUAAGCUGAGGCCCCGGAAGUAGCAGCGCUGCCAGUUCCCAAGUCCGUCCGGUUAAAACGAGAAAAACAAGCAGCACAGGGCGUCGAGUGAAGAUAAAAUGAGACACUCACGCAGAAGCGAUGGGGAUGUCAAUCUUAAUCUUCGGCAACACCUUCCGAAGCUUCGGCUCUCCGACUUUGAGAUUCUUUGGUGCUUUCUCAGUCGGAGUUGGCGAAGAGGUCCGAGGAUGCUUUGAAGACUGACCAGCUUGAGCAAUCGCCUUUUAACGAGUGCUCGGCCGUUCUUGGUCAAGUUUGGACCGCCUCUCCCUGCGAGGAGGCGACUCGAAUUCUUCUUCGUCACUCGGGUCGUCGCUUUCUUCGUCCCCUCCACCGUCAGACUCCCACUCGCCACUGUCGUCACCGCUCGCCUCUCCUUCCGGGUCCUGCUCCUGUUCUCCGUUGGGCAUUGAAUACAUUUCAAUAAUGGCCUGAAAGAAAGUAGGGAGAACAAAGUCAGUCGACUCGGCAUAGGCAGCCGCGUGAGUGGAUUCAGAUUACAAACAAAAGCUCAGAAUUGGACCUUCUCUGGUACAUGAGACUGGUCAAAUGGAGGAACUCUCCUGGCUCCCUUGGGGUUGUCCUUGUUUCCGGUCAUGCCCGACGGCCACUUCUCCAGUGUGUCGUCAUCAACCUCCUCCGGGUGAAUCCGAGUGGAGUCUUCAAGACCCGAAUACAUCCACAUCGGAUGGUCUCGAGAUUGAAGAGGCUGGAUGCGCCGCUGAAGGAAGACCUCCAGGAGAUCCAUGCCAGUGACCCCGUCAUGGAUAAGCUAGACCACUCGCUCUACCAGCACCCUCACCUGUUCCUUCUCCUCCGGGAGCACCUUCGAAGGGGAGGGUUUCCUCACUCGGUCCAUGGUAAAGGGAGGGAGGCCAGUCGACUGCCCUGGCGUCGACUGGUCUUUACAGUAAAACCAGGUCGACUGCCAUCUGCGAACUGAGUCGGGAAGAAUCAUGGCCGGAAAAGAACUUUUCCCUCUCAUCUGGAUACCAAGACCCCCACACAUCUGAAUCACAUGAGUCCUCUCGUCACUCGGAUUAGCCUUUUUCACUGUCUGGGAGCGACAAGUGAAAAUGUGCUUGAAAAGACCCCAGUGAGGCCGGCAACCCAGGAAAUUCUCACACAAAGAAAUGAAAGCGGCGAGAUAAAUGAUUGUGUUGGGAGUAAAAUGGUGGAGUUGUGCCCCAAAAAAGUUUAGAAAUCCUCGAAAGAAAGGGUGAGGAGGCAAGGAAAAUCCACGGUCGACGUGGGUGGCAAGAAGAACGCGCUCACCCUGCCGAGGUUGCGGCUCAGAUUCCUUCCUUGAGAGCCGCACCGAGUCAUAGGGGAUCAGCCCUCCUUCGGCCAGGUCAUCGAGGUCUUCUUGGGUGAGCUUCGAAUGGAUAUAGUCGCCCUGGAUCCAGCCCUUCGGCAGGCCGGCUCGCGAGGAAGAUCUGCCCCGACUGGUCGCCUUCCCCUUCGACCUCGCCGUCGCCUUCUUUGCCCGCUCCAGAGCCGCCGUCUUCUCCUUCCCCAUCGUCGCCAGCGAGACGCGUAUGGAGCGGUGGUGCUGGGGCGAGAGCGAGUGCAGCGGAGGAGCGUGAAGAGGAGAAGAGAUAAUGGGGACGCACUAUUCGGGAGACCCCGGUCCAACGCCUUAUAUGAGGCCGCUUCCGAGUGGCUGACUGGUAGGCCCAGGCGGCUCUGCCAAAUCCCAUAACAAUCGCGCGCGCGAUACGUGGCAAAAAAGGUGGCGCGGGGAUCGAGGCGGCUCCGCUCUAUCCCAUCCGAUUACUGUGGCCUCCCCCGUCCCGCGCGCUUCCCAAAAUUCGGAUCCCACGAAAUCUGCGGGCAGCAGAACAACUUGUCAGACCAAAGAUCUCCUCCGCCGUCACUCGAGGCCUUUCAAGUAAAGAAACUCACUCGACAAAGAACUAAGAAUGGAUCAAGGCGACUGGAAAAGAAGUUGCUGUCAACACUCAGGUUCAUUGAUCCGAAACAAGAUAUGCUCACGGCAUGAAAAAUGAGUCGGAAAAGUGCUCAAACCCUUUCCCACUCAAACCUCGAUCCAUUCGGGGGCUAAUGAUGAAGCUAUGUACCUAGGGUAGGGUCACGGACCUGUCCAAACUGACCUACCCAAGGACAUCUCCAGAAGAAAUCAUCUUUCAAUCGACUUGAAGGUGUCCCACUCGACAGACUCGAAGAUACUCGACCAAGAAGCAAUCACUCGACCAAGACCAAGCCACUCGACAGUCAGGGGACCUAAAGGCACUCCGCAUGCUAACGGUCGGUUAUUAAGUAGCUUUUAUGGUCAUCAUAGCACUUUAUUACUAGCAUUACCAGUAACGCCCUGCCUUAAUGUACAUUGAACCCUUUGUAACGUGGGCUGGCUGGGGUCCUGGCGCACUCUAUAUAAGCCACCCCCCCUCCUCCGAGACAAGGGUUCGCACCCCUGUAAUUCAUACACGCAUAAUCCAGUUGGCCACCUCCGGGCUCCGAGACGUAGGGCUAUUACUUCCUCCGAGAAGGGCCUGAACUCGUAAACCUCGCGUGCUUACAACUUCUCCAUAGCUAAGAUCUUGCCUCUCCAUACCUACCCCCCUACAUCACUCUCAGACUUAGAACCAUGACAGCCGCGCCCCUUCCCCAUGGACUGGUCCAAAUUGGACUAGGGAAAGGGGGCGCCCCCUUCCUUCCUUCUCCUUCUCCCUUCCCUUUUUCCUAUUCCAUGUGGGAGGUGGAAUCCUACUAGGACUAGGGAGUCCUAGUAGGACUCCACACUUUGGGCGUGCCCUAUGAGGGCCGGCCUCCUCCUCCCUCCAUCCAUUAUAUACGUGGCCAGGGGGCACCCCAUAGACACACAAGUUGAUCAUUGAUCUCUUAGCCGUGUGCAGUGCCCCCCUCCACCAUAAUCCACCUCGGUCAUAUCAUAGCGAUGCUUAGGCGAAGCCCUAUUCCAGUAGCAUCAUCAUCACCGUCAUCACGCCGUCGUGCUGACGAAGCUCUUCCUCGACACUCUGCUGGAUCGUGAGUUCGUGGGACGUCACCGAGAUGAACAUGUGCAGAUCACGGAGGUGUCCUACUUUCGGUACUAGGAUCGGUCAGUCGUGAAGACAUACGACUACAUCAACCGCGUUGUCAUAACGCUUCCGCUUAUGGUCUACGAGGGUACAUAGACAACACUCUCCCCUCUUGUUGCUAUGCAUCACCAUGAUCUUGCAUGUGCGUAGGAAUUUUUGAUAUUACUACUUUCCCCAAUAGUGGCAUCCGAGCCAGGUUUAUGCGUAGAUGUUAUAUGCACGAGUUGAACCCAAAGGAUUUGUGGGUGUGGGUAUAUACGUAUUGCUUGCCGUCACUAGUUGAUUCUUGAUUCAGCGGCAUUGUUGGAUGAAGUGGCCCAGACCGACAUUACGCGUACGCUUACGCGAGACUGGUUCUACUGACGUGCUUCGCACACAGGUGGCUAGUGGGUGUCUGUUUCUCCAGCUUUAGUUGAAUCGGAUUCAAUGAACAGGGUUCUUUCUGAAGAUCAAAAAGCAAUCACUAUACCGCGUUGUGGUUUUUGAUGCGUAGGUAAGAACAGUUCUUUCUUAGCCCGUAGCAGCCACGUAAAACAUUCAACAACAAAGUAGAGGACGUCUAACUUGUUUUUGCAGGGCAUGUUAUGAUGUGAUAUGGUGAAUACAUGAUGCUAAAUUUUAUUGUAUGAGAUGAUCAUGUUUUGUAACACAGUUAUCGGCAACUGGCAGGAGCCAUAUGGUUGCCGCUUUAUUAUAUGAAAUGCAAUCACCAUGUAAAUGCUUAACUUUAUCACUAAGCGGUAGCGAUAGUCGUGGAAGCAAUAGUUGGUGUGACGACAACGAUGCUUCGAUGGAGAUCAAGGUGUCAAGCCGGUGACAAUGGUGAUCAUGACGGUGCUUUGGAGAUGAAGAUCACAGGCACAAGAUGAUGAUGGCCAUAUCAUAUCACUUAUAUUGAUUCCAUGUGAUGUAUAUCUUUUAUGCAUCUUAUUUUGCUUAGAUCGACGGUAGCAUUAUAAUAUGAUCUCUCACUAAAUUUCAAGGUAUAAGUGUUCUCCCUGAGUAUGCACCGUUGCAAAAGUUCGUCGUGUCGAGACACCAUGUGAUGAUCGGGUGUGAUAAGCUCUACAUUCACAUACAAUGGUGCAAGCCAGUUUUGCACACGCAGAAUACUCGGGUUAAACUUGACGAGCCUAGCAUAUGCAGAUAUGGCCUUGGAACACUGGAGACCGAAAGGUCGAGCGUGAAUCAUAUAGAAGAUAUGAUCAACAUAGAGAUGUUCACCAUCGAAAACUACUCCAUCUCACGUGAUGAUCGGAUAUGCUUUAGUUGAUAUGGAUCACGUGGUCACUUAGAUGAUUAGAGGGAUGUCUAUCUAAGUGGGAGUCCUUAAGUAAUAUGAUUAAUUGAACUUCAAAUUUAUCAUGAACUUAUUCCUGGUAGUAUUUGCAUAACUAUGUUGUAGAUCAAUUGCUCGCGUAUAGCUUCCCUAUUUUAUUUUUGGUAUGUUCCUAGUGAAAACUAAGUUGAAAUGAUAGUAGCAAUGAUGCGGACUAGGUCCGCGAUCUAAGGAUUAUCCUCAGUGUUGCACAAAGAAUUAUGUCCUUGAUGAACCGCUAGGUGACAGACCUAUUGCUGGAGCAGAUGCAGACAUUAUGAACGUUUGGCAAAGCUCGGUAUGAUGACUACUUGAUAGUUUAGUGCACCAUGCUUUACGGCUUAGAACUGAGACUUCAAAAAUGUUUUGAAAUGUCAUGGAACAUAUAAGAUGUUCGAAAAGUUGAAAUUGGUAUUUCAUACUCAUGCCCGUGUCGAGAGGUAUGAGACCUCUGACAGCACUUUGCCUACAAGAUGGAGGAGAAUAGCUCAACCGGUGAGCAUGUGCUCAGAUUGUCUGGGUACUACAAUUGCUUGAAUCUAGUGGGAGUUAAUCUUCUAGAUAAGAUAGUAAUUGAUAAAGUUCUCUAGUCAAUAUCACCAAGUUACUAGAACUUCGUGAUGAACUAUAAUAUGUAAUGGAUGACGAAAACGAUUCCCCAAGCUCUUCGCGAUGUUGAAAUCGGCAAAGGUAGAAAUCAAGAAUAGCAUCAAGUGUUGAUGGUUGACAUGACCACUAGUUUCAAAUAAAAGGGCAAGGGAAAGAAAGGCAACUUCAAAGAAGAAUAGCAAGCAAGUUGCUGCUCCCAUGAAGAAGGCCAAAGCUAGACCCAAGCUAGGAACUGAGUGCUUCUACUGCAAUGGAAAUGGUCACUGGAAGUGGAACUGCCCUAGAUACUUGGCAGAUAAGAAGGAUGGCAAAGUGAACAAAAGUAUAUUUCAUAUACAUAUUAUUGAUGUGUACUUUACUAGUGUUUAUAGCAACCCCUCAGUAUUUGAUACUGGUUCAGUUGCUAAGAGUAGUAACUCGAAACGGGAGUUGCAAAAUAAAGAUAGACUAGUUAAGGGCGAGGUGAUGAUGUGAGUUGGAAGUGAUUCCAAGGUUGAUAAGAUCACCAUCGCACACUCCCUUUAUCUUCGGGGUUAGUGUUGAACCUAAAAUAAAUGUUAUUGGGUGUUUGUGUUGAGCAUAAUAUGAUUGGAUCAUGUUUAUUGCAAUAGGGUUAUUCAUUUAAGUCAAAGAAUAAUUGUUAUUCUGUUUACAUGAAUAAAACCUUCUAAGGUCAUACACCCAAGGUGAAUGGUUUAUUGAAUCUUGAUCGUAGUGAUACACAUAUUCAUAAUAUUGAAGCCAAAAGAUGCAAAGUUAAUAAUAAUAGUGCAACUUAUAUGUGGCACUGCCGUUUAGGUCAUAUUGGUGUAAAGCGCAUGAAGAAACUCCAUGCUGAUGGGCUUUUGGAAUCACUUGAUUAUGAAUCAUUUGAUGCUUGCGAACCAUGCCUCAUGGGCAAGAUGACUAAAAACUCCGUUCUCCAGAACAAUGGAGCAAGCAACUGACUUAUUGAAAUAAUACAUACUGAUGUAUGCAAUCUGAUGAGUGUUGAGGCUUGCGGCGGGUAUCAUUAUUUUCUGACCUUCACAGAUGAUUUGAGUAGAUAUGGGUAUAUCUACUUGAUGAAACAUAAGUCUGAAACAUUUGAAAAGUUCAAAGAAUUUCAGAGUGAAGUGGAAAAUCAUCGUAACAAGAAAAUAAAGUUUCUGCGAUCUGAUCGUGGAGGAGAAUAUUUGAGUUAUGAGUUUGGUCUUCGUUUGAAACAAUGGGGAAUAGUUUCGCAACUCAUGCCACCUGGAACACCACAGCGUAAUGGUGUGUUCGAACGUCAUAACCAUACUUUAUUAGAUAUGGUGCGAUCUAUGAUAUCUCUUACGGAUUUGUCACUAUCGUUUUGGGGUUAUGCAUUGGAGACAGCUGCAUUCAUGUUAAAUAGGACACCAUCUAAAUCCGUUGAGAUGACACCGUAUGAACUAUGGUUUGGCAAGAAACCAAAGCUGUGGUUUCUUAAAGUUUGGGGUUGCGAUGCUUAUGUGAAAAAGUUUCAAACUGAUAAACUCGAACCCAAAUCGGAGUAGUGCGUCUUCAUAGGAUGCCCAAAAGAAACUGUUGGGUACACCUUCUAUCACAGAUCCGAAGGCAAGAUAUUUUGUUGCUAAGAAUGGAUCCUUUCUAGAGAAGGAGUUUCUCUCGAAAGAAGUGAUUGGGAGGAAUGUAAAACUUGAUGAGGUAAUUGUACCUUCUCCCGAAUUGGAAAGUAGUUCAUCAAAGAAAUCAGUUCUAGUGAUUCCUACACCAAUUAGUGAGGAAGUUAAUGAUGAUGAUCAUGAAACUUCAGAUCAAGUUACUACCGAACCUCGUAGGUCAACCAGAAUACGUUCUGCACCAGAGUGGUAUGGUAAUCCUGUUCUGAAGGUCAUGUUACUUGACCAUGACGAGCGUACGAACUAUGAGGAAGCGAUGAGGAGCCCAGAUUCCGAGAAAUGGCUUGAAGUCAUGAAAUCUGAGAUGAGAUCCAUGUAUUAGAACAAAGUAUGGACUUUGAUUGACUUGCCCGUUGAUCGGUAAGCCAUUAAGAAUAAAUGGAUUUUCAAGAGGAAGAUGGAGACUGAUAGUAGUGUUACUAUCUACAAAGCUCGAAUUGUCGCAAAAGGUUUUCGAUAAGUUCAAGAUGUUGACUAUGACGAGAUUUUCUCACUCGUAGUGAUGCUUAAGUCUGUCUGAAUCAUGUUAGUAAUUGCCAAAUUUUAUGAAAUCUAGCAAAUGGAUGUCAAAACUGCAUUCCUUCAUGGAUUUCUUAAAGAAGAGUUGUAUAUGAUGCAACAAGAAGGUUUUUUCAAUCCUAAACGUGCUAACAAAGUGUGCAAGCUCCAGCGAUCCAUCUAUGGACUAGUGCAAGCAUCUCGGAGUUGGAAUAUAUACUUUGAUAAAGUGAUCAAAGCAUAUGGUCUUGCGGUGAAGCCUGUAUUUAUAAGAAAGUGAGUGGGAGCACUACAGAAUUUAUGAUAAGUAUAUGUGAAUGACAUAUUGUUGAUCAGAAAUAAUGUAGAAUUUUCUGGAAAGCAUAAAGGAGUGUUUGAAAAGAGUUUUUCAAAGAAAGACCUCGAUGAAGCUACUUACAUAUUGAGCAUCAAGAUCUAUAGAGAUAGAUCAAGACGCUUGAUAUAUUUUCAAUGAGUACAUACCUUGACAAGAUUUUGAAGUAGUUCAAAAUGGAAAAGGCAAAGAAGGAGUUCUUGCCUGUGUUGCAAGGUGUGAAGUUGAGUAAAGACUCAAAACCCGACCACGACAGAAAAUAGAAAGAGAAUGAAAAGUCAUUCCCUAUGCCUCAAUCAUAGGUUCUAUAAAGUAUGCUAUGUUGUGUACCAGACCUAUUGUGUACCUCACCAUAAGUUUGGCAAGAGGGUACAAUAGUGAUCCAGGAGUGGAUCACUGGACAGUGGUCAAAAAUAUCCUUAGUGGAAUAAGGAAAUUUUUCUCGGUUAUGGAGGUGACAAAGAGUUCGUCGUAAAGAGUUACGUAAAUGCAAACUUUGACACCGAUCUAGGUGACUCUAAGUCUCGAGCUAGAUACAUAUCAAAAGUGGGAGCAAUUAGCUAGACUAGCUCCGUGCAAAGCAUUGUAGACAUAAAAGAUUUGCAAAAUAAAUACGGCUCUGAAUGUGGCAGACCCGUUGACUAAAUUUCUCUCACAAGCAAAACAUGAUCACUCUUUGGGUUUUAAUAACAUAGCGAUCUGAACUAGAUUAUUGACUCUAGUAAACCCUUUGGGUGUUAGUCACAUGGAGAUGUGAACUAAUCACAUAAAGAUGUGAACUAUUGGUGUUAAAUCACAUGACGAUGUGAACCAGAUUAUUGACUCUAGUGCAAGUGGGAGACUGAAGGAAAUAUGCCCUAGAGGCAAUAAUAAAGUUGUUAUUUAUAUUUCCUUAUAUCAUGAUAAAUAUUUAUUAUUCAUGCUAGAAUUGUAUUAACCGGAAACUUAGUACAUGUGUCAAUACAUAGACAAACAAAGUGUCCCGAGUAUGCCUCUACUUGACUAGCUCGUUAACCAAAGGUGGUUAAGUUUCCUAGCCAUGGACAUGUGUUGUCAUUUGAUCAACGGGAUCACAUCAUUAGAGAAUGAUGUGAUGGACAAGACCCAUCCGUUAGCUUAGCAUAAUGAUCGUUAGUUUUAUUGCUACUGCUUUCUUCAUAACUUAUACAUGUUCCUCUGACUAUGAGAUUAUGCAACUCCCGAAUACCAGAGGAACACCUUGUGUGCUAUGAAACGUCACAACGUAACUGGGUGAUUAUAAAGAUGCUUAACAGGUGUCUCCGAUGGUGUUCGUUGAGUUGGCAUAGAUCGAGAUUAGGAUUUGUCACUCCGAUUGUCGGAGAGGUAUCUCUGGGCCCUCUCGGUAAUGCACAUCACUCUAAGCCUUGCAAGCAUUGUGACUAAUGAGUUAUUUGCGGGAUGAUGCAUUACGGAAUGAGUAAAGAGACUUGUCGGUGACGAGAUUGAACUAGGAAUGAUGAUACCGACGACUGAAUCUCGGGCAAGUAACAUACCGAUGACAAAGGGAACAACGUAUAUUGUUAUGCGGUUUGACCGAUAAAGAUCUUUGUAGAAUAUGUAGGAACCAAUAUGAGCAUCCAGGUUCCGCUAUUGGUUAUUGACCAAAGAUGAGUCUCGGUCAUGUCUACAUAGUUCUCGAACCUGUAGGGUCCGCACGCUUAACGUUCUGUGACGAUUUGUAUUAUGAAUUAUGUGAUUUGAUGACCGAAGUUUGUUCGGAGUCCCGGAUGAGAUCGGGGACAUGUCGAGGAGUCUUGAAAUGGUCGAGACAUAAAGAUCGAUAUAUUGGAAGGCUAUAUUCGGACAUCAGAAAGGUUCCGGGUGAUUCGAGUAUUCUUUAGAGUACCAGAGAGUUACGGGAAUUCGUAUUGGGCCUUAAUGGGCCAUACGGGAAAGGAGAGAAAGGCCUCAAAGGUGGUCGCGCCCUUCCCCAUGGACUGGUCCGAAUUGGACUAGGGAAAGGGGGCGCCCCCUUCCUUCCUUCUCCUUCUCCCUUCCCUUUUUCCUUAUUCCAUGUGGGAGGUGGAAUCCUACUAAGACUAGGGAGUCCUAGUAGGACUCCACACUUUGGGCGCGCCCUAUGAGGGCCGGCCUCCUCCUCCCGCCAUCCUUUAUAUACGUGUCCAGGGGGUACCCCGUAGACACACAAGUUGAUGAUUGAUCUCUUAGCCGUGCGCGGUGCNNNNNNNNNNNNNNNNNNNNNNNNNNNNNNNNNNNNNNNNNNNNNNNNNNNNNNNNNNNNNNNNNNNNNNNNNNNNNNNNNNNNNNNNNNNNNNNNNNNNNNNNNNNNNNNNNNNNNNNNNNNNNNNNNNNNNNNNNNNNNNNNNNNNNNNNNNNNNNNNNNNNNNNNNNNNNNNNNNNNNNNNNNNNNNNNNNNNNNNNNNNNNNNNNNNNNNNNNNNNNNNNNNNNNNNNNNNNNCCCCCCUCCACCAUAAUCCACCUCAGUCAUAUCGUAGCGGUGCUUAGGCGAAGCCCUAUUCUGGUAGCAUCAUCAUCACAGUAAUCACACCGUCGUGCUGACGAAGCUCUCCCUCGACACUCUGCUGGAUCGUGACUUCAUGGGACGUCACCGAGUUGAACGUGUGCAGAUCGCGGAGGUGCCGUACUUUCGGUACUAGGAUCGGUCGACCGUGAAGACGUACGACUACAUCAACCGCGUUGUCGUAACACUUCCGCUUGCGGUCUAUGAGGGUACAUAGACAACACUCUCCCCUCUUGUUACUAUGCAUCACCAUGAUCUUGCAUGUGCGUAGGAAUUUUUGAUAUUACUGCGUUCCCCAACAGUCUCCCCCUGCUGCUCCACACUUCCGACGAUCUUUGCCCUCAGCAGGUCGUGCUCGGCCCGAAGCUUCACAUUGCUCUCAUUUAGUUGCCGGAUGACGCCAAUAGCCUCUUAAUGAGAGGCUUCAUGUCGUCCUGCAACCUCGCCCAGCCGGAGAUCUGGUCCAUCUGGCUAUGGACGAUCGCAUGCAUGCACCUGUAAGAGUCCUCGCCUGCUCGCGAUACAUUUUCCCAGGCUUCCGCGGCGCGGGAGGACAUCUCUGUUGCAUUCGCGGCACGGCGGGACAUCUCUUCUGCUUCUGUGGGGCGAUCGGACCAGUCUGCCGCAUCGAUGGCGCGGCGGGACUUGCGUGCUGCUUCGGCGGAGUGGUGGGACCUCUAUGCUGCUACGGUUGUGAUACGUCUCCGUCAUAUCUAUAAUUUUUUAUUGUUCAAUGCCAAUAUUAUACAACUUUCAUAUACUUUUGGCAACUUUUUAUACUAUUUUUGGGACUAACAUAUUGAUCCAGUGCCCAGUGCUAGUUCCUGUUUGUUGCAUGUUUUUUGUUUCGCAGAAAAUCCAUAUCAAACAGAGUCCAAACGGGAUAAAAACUGACGGAGAUUUUUUUUGGAAUAUAUGUGAAUUUUGGGAAGUGGAAUCAACACGAUAUGAUGCCCGAGUGGGGCACGAGGCAGGGGGCCCGCCCCAGGGGGGAAGGCGCGCCCUGGGCCCUUGUGGAUACCUCGUAAGGUGGUUGGUGCCCUUCUUUCGCCACAAGAAAGCUAAUAUCUUGAUAAAAAUCGUGUCCAAAAUUCAGCCCAAUCGGAGUUACGGAUCUCCAGGAAUAUAAGAAAUGGUGAAAGGGUAGAAUCUGGAACGCAGAAACAGAGAGAGACAGAUCCAAUCUCAGAGGGGCUCUCGCCCCUCCCAUGCCAUGGAGACCAAGGACCAGAGGGGAAAACCUUCUCCCAUCUAGGGGGGAGGUCAAGGAAGAAGAAGAAGAAGAAGGGGGGAUAUGUCCCCCUCUCUCCCGGUGGAGCCGGAACGCCGUCGGGGCCAUCAUCAUCACCGCAAUCUACACCAACAACUUCACCGCCAUCAUCACCAACUCUUCCCCCCCUCCCUAUGCAGCGGUGUAACCCCUCUUUUACCCGCUGUAAUCUCUACUUAAACAUGGUGCUCAAUGCUAUAUAUUAUUUCCCAAUGAUGUAUGGCUAUCCUAUGAUGUUUGAGUAGAUCUGUUUUGUCCUAUGGGUUAAUUGAUGAUCGUGAUUGGUUUGAUUUGCAUGUUUUAUUAUUGGUGCUAUCCUAUGGUGCUCUCCGUGUCGCGCAAGCGUGAGAGAUCCCCGCUGUAGGGUUUGCAAUAUGUUCAUGAUUUGCUUAUGGUGGGUGGCGUGAGUGACAGAAGCACGGACCCGAGUAAGUAGGUUGUUCGCGUAUAGGAGUAAAGAGGACUUGAUGCCUUAUAAUGCUAUGGUUGGGUUUUACCUUAAUGAUCUUUAGUAGUUGCGGAUGCUUGCUAGAGUUCCAAUCAUAAGUGCAUAUGAUCCUAGAAGAGAAAGUAUGUUAGCUUAUGCCUCUCCCUCAAAUAAAAUUGCAAUAAUGAUUACCGGUCUAGUUAUAGAUUGCCUAGGGACAAAUAACUUUCUCGUGACAAAAAGCUCUCUACUAAAACUAACUUAGUUGUGUCUUCAUCUAAACAGCCCCUACUUUUUAUUUACGCGCUCUUUAUUAUCUUGCAAACUUAUCCUAUCACACCUACAAAGUACUUCCAGUUUCAUACUUGUUCUAGGUAAAGAGAACGUUAAGCGUGCGUAGAAUUGUAUCGGUGGUCGAUAGAACUUGAGGGAAUAUUUGUUCUGCCUUUAGCUCCUCGUUGGGUUCGACACUCUUACUUACUGAAAGAGGCUACAAUUGAUCCCCUAUACUUGUGGGUUAUCAAGACCUUUUUCUGGCGCCGUUGCCGGGGAGUUAUAGCAGGGGUGAAUAUUCUCGUGUGUGCUUGUUUGCUUUAUCACUAAGUAAUUUUUAUUUGUUGUUCUAAGUUGUUCUCUAUAUUUAGUUAUGGAUAUGGAACACGAAAUACCAAAAAAAUUAGGUUUACUUGCUACUCAUGGAGAUGGGGAACCUCCUAAAACCCUCGAUGCCCAUUAUGUGAAAGAUAUUAUGUACUACUUUGAUAAUCGUGAGAAAACCCCAUUCAACUUUAUAAUGGGAUUAACGUUGGAUCAACGUGAAUACUUUAGGUAUUAUCGCUUGACUCAAAAAGGGAAACUAUUAUGGGAUCAAAUUUAUAUGUUGCAUUGGUAUGCUUGGCAACUAUGCUUGAGAUAUGAUUAUAAUUGUUGCUCUAGGAUGAAGGCUCCACACCUUCCCUUUUCAUGUGAAUUUAAUGAUAAUGAAACCUUAGCUUCUUAUGCUAAUGGUAUAUAUGAUUACUAUGACGUGGAACGAAUAGAAGAAUUUGUUGCUUUUAUGGGUGCUUAUGAAAUUGAAUCUUUGUUUAAAGAGUGUGAAAAUCUUGAUGAUGCUGUUUACAGACCUGAAAUUUUUGCUAUACUUAAAUAUUGCUAUGAAAAUUAUUAAUUCAAUUCUGAUAAUGAUGAUUUUAUUGAGAGAGUCUCUAUUGUCCAAGAAGAGACUAAUAUUUUGCAGGAGUCUAUGGAAGAAGAAAUGGAUGAAAGUGUGAGCUCAUUGGAUGAAAAAGAUUAUGAGGAGAGCGAAGAACAAAAGGAGGAAGAGCGGAUUAGCUACCCGUGCCCACCUUCUAAUGAGAGUAACUCUUCAACUCAUACAUUGUUUAAUUUCCCUUCGUUCUUACCGAAGGAUGAUUGCUAUGAUGAUUGUUAUGAUCCCGUUGAUUCUUUUGAAAUAUCCCUUUUUGAUGAUUCUUGCUAUGCUUGUGGCCAAGAUGCCAAUAUGAAUUAUGCUUAUGGAGAUGAACUUUCUAUAGUUCCUUAUGUUAAACAUGAAAUUGUUGCUAUUGCACCCACGCAUGAUAGUCCUAUUAUCUUUUUGAAUUCUCCCGACUACACUAUAUCGGAGAAGUUUUCCCUUAUUAAGGAUUAUAUUGGUUGGUUAUUGAUCAGAGACGAGUCUCAAUCAUGUCUACAUAGUUCUCGAACCCGUAGGGUCUGCAUGCUUAAAGUUCGGUGACGAUCGGUAUUAUGAGUUUAUAUGUUUUUGAUGUACCGAAGGUAGUUUGGAGUCCCAGAUGUGAUCACGGACAUGACGAGGAGUCUCGAAAUGGUCGAGACGUAAAGAUUGAUAUAUUGAACGGCUAUAUUCGGACAUCGGAAGUGUUCCGGAUGAUUUCAAAUAAAAUCGCAGUGCCGGAGGGGUUACCGGAACUCCUCGGGGAAGUAUUGGGCCUUAGUGGGCCUGAGGGGAGAGAGAGGGCGGCAGGCCAGGAGGUGGCGCGGCCCCUCCCAUGGGGAGUCCGAAUUGGACUAGGGGAGGGGGCGCGGCCCCUCUUUCCCUCUCCCUCUCCCUCUCUUUCCUUCCCCCUUCCCUCUUCCUAGUUGGACUAGGAAAGGAUGAAUCCUCUUCCUAGUAGGAAGAGGAUUCCUCCUCUCCUUGGGGCGCACCAAGGCUGGCCGGCCUCCCCCCUUGCUCCUUUAUAUACGGGGGCGGGGGGCACCCAAAGACACACAAGUUGAUUGUUCCAAGCCGUGUGCGGUGCCCCCCUCCACCAUAAUCCACCUCGAUCAUAUCAUAGCAGUGCUUAGGCGAAGCCCUGCAUCAGUAGCAACAUCAUCACCGUCAUCACGCCGUCGUGCUGAUGGAACUCUCCCGUGAAGCUUUGCUGGAUCGCAGUUCGUGGGACGUCAUCGAGCUGAACGUGUGCUGAACUCGGAGGUGUCGUGCGUUCAGUACUUGGAUCGGUCGGAUUGUGAAGACGUAUGACUACAUCAACCGCGUUCUCAUAACGCUUCCGCUUAUGGUCUACGAGGGUACGUGGAUGAUACUCUCCCCUCUCGUUGCUAUGCAUCACCAUGAUCUUGCGUGUGCGUAGGAAAUUUUUUGAAAUUACUACAUUCCCGAACACAUAGACCAAGUUUAUGAUUUUUGGUUGGUAACAUGUCACAUAAGACAAAAUUGUGCGCAUGUUUCAUAUUUUUUGAUUUUUUUUAAUUAGUGGUGCUCAUUUGACCUCGAUCGUGCCAGCUAGGGUUUUUUCAUGGAAAUGACCAUAGACCAAGUUUAGUAUUUUUCCUCGUUAGUGUGUCUUAUAAAACGACGAACGGGGAAGGUUUCAUAUUGUUUGAAUUUUUUUUAAAUUAGUUAUCCUCAGUCAAAGCUUUCGUAACCCUGUUGACCAGCUCAAAACCCCUCUCCAAACGUCAGUCAUCCGAUCAUACCCUAGCGCCAAGCGACAUCCCUCAUAUGUGGUCUUCUAGAAGGAAUUCGGUGGGCAAGCCUGCGUGCAGGCUCCGUGCCGUUGGAUCACAAGGACGGCUCCGCAUUGUUGGAUCGUGGGGCGAUCCGCGAGAGGCGAUCCUGCUGGUUGUGCUCGGCUGCUCGCCCACCACUGACUCUGCGAAAAAAUGUUGUUAUUGGGCCCAAAAGGAAACCAAGCUCUGGUUGGGCCGUCGAAUUGCGUUGUUUUUUUGUGAACAUGUUGGCUCUGUUUUUUGUGAACAUGUUGGCUCUGGGUUUUUUUGCAUCAUUUGAAAUUACACAAAAAUUGACAUUGCAUAGAAAAUUUAGUUCUUUUUGUUCUAUACAAAUGCAAAAUGACCAAAUUUAUAAGGGCUAAAUUUGUUUUUAUCAUGCAAAAUGGCCACAAACUAUUAAAAAAUGGGUCAUUUUGCAUUUGUAUAUUGGCCACAAGCCCUCUAUCUUUUUUAUCAUGCAAAAUGACCAAAUUUAUAAGGGACAAAUUUAUUUUUGUCAUGCAAAAUGGCCACAAGCCCUUCAAAAAUUGUCUCUCUUUGUUCAUAUAAUAUAUAUGACCACAGAUUCACAUGCAUGCAAUUAGCUUCUUUUUAUUCUUCUUUUCAAACCACCGUUUCCCACGCGUGUACACUCCCGAUGCUGCGGUGGGUUUGAAAACAGGCUACUACUUCACAUUUGACCCCGUUAUUGCCACGGCCAAAAUAACACGUAGCACUACGGCUAUUUAAGCUACCCUGUGCCUCUACCAUCUCCCACCCUCUGCCUCUGCCAUCCCUCAUCCAUCUACCCUUCUUGCUCUUCGGCCCCUUCUCCUUCUGCACAUCCCUCAGCCAUGCAGUACACCGGACCAACUUGCCGCUUCUCACCCACCGUGACGGAGAGGCUCUACCCUACUGGCGUGUACGUUGAUCGCACACUACGUGUGUGGGUGAUAUCAACGCUGAGGACCGCUGGGAACUUCACCGAGUUCUUCCUCGCAUCCGGCUACCACCACCUCCCGCGGGGAUCUCCAACGAUGUUCUGCGUCGAGGAGGUCAUCCAAAACCAGGUGGUGGUUGCUCUCCUUGCUCACUUCACCAAUACAUUCGACGCCUUCUACCUCCUCGGUCGGGUGUUCUGGUGUGGCUCUGAGUUCAUCGCUUUCACCACCCACAACAGGUUCACGAAAUACACCAACAUCUUCCCCACCAUGACAUGCAUGCACACUCUUCCGUACCCCAUCGACAAUGCCCCCAAGGAGCACUGAAAAGGGUACCUGGAGGAGGAGCGAAGUGGAGAAGGCGGCGGCUAGGGUUCUAAACCCUCUAACUUUUUUUAGUCUAUGUUAUGUUAAGUUGUAAUUGAACUAUGUUGGAGUUGCUAUGGGCUUGUUGGCCCUUUUCUUAAGUUCUAUUAUUAAGUUUUCUAUCUAUUCUAUUAUUAAGUUAUUCCUAGUCUGAACUAUGUGUUCGUGCUAUGGGCUUGUUGGCCCUAUCUACAUAUUGGGACUACAUAUUUGUUGAUUGUUUUCUUAGAGAGCUUGGCUUGUUAGUAGGGUUCCCUGGUUAGUAACCACCUAGUGCAUGCAAGCAAGCUUUGUUAGUAGGGAUGAAUGAGUAGACCUAAGCAAGGGAGCGGCUCUUUUUUACACAAAUCACAAAUAUGUAGCCACCUAGCUAGAAGAGAGGAACCAGCGGCAGUGACCGUCCCUGCAUCUGUGGUAGCUGGCGUGCAAGAAAGCUGCUCGGUUAAUGCGUCGUGGCGGACGCAUCGGCGCAUGCAGGCUCGGUCGGCACAUGCAGGCUCGGUUGGCGCAUGCAGGCUCGGUGGGCGCAUCAUGGCAUCGUGGCAUCGGCGCAUGCAGGCUCAAUCGACGCAUGCAGGCGGGCUUUGCUGGGUGCAUGCAUAGCAGGCUUUUGUCCUGGCGGCGCGCGCAGACAUUUAAUGCAAGGGACGAUCCAAUGAAACCACGGCCCAACGGUCGAACAGCGACACCACCCAACGUGGCCCCACUUGUCAGGUCCAACGGACGAAACAGUCCAAUGUGGCCCCACUAGUCAGAGUUAACGGUCAAGGUCAAGCCUUUGACCCAACGACAACGUCCAUUUUUUGAAGGUUAGGAUAGUAGGAAAGGCUCCUACUGCUUAUAUCCUACCACAAUGUAAAAGUUUGUUACAUAUGCACAGAGUGGGGGGGGGAGGGAGAAAAACAAUUACAUAGCUAUGAGGGUUGUGACCAGUUAUGAGGGUUUCUCGCAAGGGAGUGGGGAAAAUUGAGCAAAAGUUAAGCGCGUGGGGAUGAAUGAGUAGGGCUAAGAAACCAGGGGCAUAGAUGAAAAAUCCCAUAAUAAUAAAAGUGCACGUGCAUUGGACUAAGCUGGAAUCUACAAACAUUGAUUUAGAGGAGAAGACAAGGUAAUAUGGGCUCUUUGUUAGAUCAACAAUAAUGCAUAUGAGAGCCACUCAACAUUUUCAUCAUGGUCUUCUCCUUACAACCCAAAGAAAAGGAAAAGAAUUUCAAUGAAACACACUGAAAUAUUUUUGGAGUUUUUGUUUUUCUGAAGAAAGUAAAACAAAAACGAGUAAAACUAUUUACACGGGAAAGCUCCCAACAAGCAAAAGAAGAACGAGAAAUCAUUUUAGGUUUUCUUUUAAUACUACUACUGAAUAAGCCAGAAAGAAAAACUAAAAAGAAGUGAGAACCAAUAUUUUUUGAUUUUCUCAAAGUUUUUCAAACACACAAGAAGAAAGCAAGAAAAAUAAAAUAACAUGGAUAAUACAAUGAAAAAGUAGGAACAUCGACAACUGGAAUGAGUGUGUGAACAUGAAUGUAAUGUCCGUGAGAGAUAUCUACUCCCCCAAGCUUAGGCUUUUGGCCUAAGUUGGUCUAGGGCCACGGCUCGAUACUGAGGAGGGUCCUGAGGGUUCCACUGGUUGGCGAGCCCCUGUGGCUCCCACUGAUAAAUAGUCUCCUGAUAUAGAUCAGGAACUGGUGCUGGCUCAGGUGUUGGAGGUUGUGUCAGCCUCCAGUACAUGUAAAUUUCCUCGAGCAUAAUGGUGUACCUUCCUGAACGAAUAUAGAACAAAGAAGGUGCAGGCAAAGUAAUAAUCUCACAAGUAUCCUGACUAAAUACUAGGUUGUAGAGGAGCCGCCUAUCAUCGUAUUUUUUAAUAAAAUCGUGUGCUACCAUACUAUCAUAGUUUAAAUAUUUAGUGGGUAACAACAUCUCCUCCUUCUCAUCAUGCCUAAUGGGUAUCUCAAAAUGUUUAGCAAGGAGGGAGGCAUAGGCACCUCCAAAAAUAGUGCCCUUUGAACGGUUUGUGUUUAACCGCCGAGCAACAAUGGCGCCCAAACUAAAAGUUCUCUUAGCAUAUAAAGCAUGGUGCAAAAUGGAAAGGUUAGGGGCACUGAGGCCUCCACUCUCCCCUCGACCAAUUAAACAUCUCCUGGCAAAUAAUGAAUAAGAGCGUAAAACAGGAAAAUGUAAACUAGCCACUCUAGCAUCCGACACUCCUCUCUCUUUCCCCACAGUAGUGUCAGCAAUGAAAUCCUCCACAUUCCUAGGAUGUGGCUCACUGAUGCUGCCCUCAUAAGGUAUUUUGCAAACAUCGUAAAAGUCAUAAAGUGUCAUUCUCUUAGGCACAUCAUACAAGUGAAAUUCUACCAUGCGAGGAUCAUUCCUAGAAUGGAAGUGAAAAUUUUGCACGAAGGUAUUAGUGAGUAGGAGGUAUUGGUGACACUUAUCUUGGAGGAAGGCGGUGAUGUCGGCAUUCUCCGCCAAAUAAUAGAAGUCAUCAUAAAUUCCUGCCUCCCUCAAGAAUGUAUCGCUUGGCCACUCACACGAUCGAACCUUCGCAGCAUGAGGAAGGUUGUACUUGGGCUUCUUCUUCUCCUCAUUUUCAUUUCCCUUGGAAUUCUGGCUCGAAGAACCCCUUAACCACCUCCUUAUGGUUUCUCUUUUCUCUGAAUUUUUUUGAAAUUUUUAGUGACUCAAAAUAAAAGUGAACCAAACUCAACAAAACUAAUAGCAAUUACUCUCACAAGUGUCUAGAGGCUAUAUCAUGCGACAAAGCUACUUUGGACCAUAUAAAUUUGACAUGCAAGCUCAAGAACAAGGUCACCACAGCAGCAAAAGUUUGCAAUAUAUAAAGCACUAGAACAAAAACUAAUUGGACCAACGGAGGAGUCACAUACUGAUGAAAUUUCCCCCUGAACACUUUCAGAAAUGGAGUUCCAAGCAAGGAGAUCGAAAAUGGCAGGAAAACAAGCAAGAAAACGGGUUUGAGCAAUGGUGUGAUUUUUCUGGAGGAAGACGAAGUGGAUGGGUAGCUGGAAUAAGUGAGGGGAUCCACGUGGGACCCACAAGCCCUGUAGGCGCGCCCUAGGGGGUGGGCACGCCCUAUGGGCUUGUGGCCCUCUAGUGCACCCCCUGAGGUGUUCGGUGCCAAAAAUUCUUAAAUAUUAUGGAAAAUCAUACUAAAUUUUCAGGGCAUUUAGAGAACUUUUAUUUUCGACUCAUUUACUAUUGCACGGAUAAUUCAGAAAAUAGAAAAAUAAUGGUAUUUCUACUUUACUUCUUCUAAAUAACAGAAAGUAAAAAGUGGGUACAAAAGGUUGUGUUUACUAAACUCAUCCAUCUCAUGCCCGUCAAAAAGGAAUCCAUCAAUAAGGUUGAUCAAGUCUUAUUAACAAACUUCUUCCGAAUGACAUGAAACCGGAGAAUCUUCGUAUAACGCUAAGUUACCUCAACGGGGAUAUGCAUGUCCCCAACAAUAGGAAUAUCAUAUUUCUUUUUUACAGUAGGAAGAGGGAAUUCAAAACCUCCAAUAGUAAUUGUUGAAAUUUUUCCAAUAGAAUUGAUACUAUUCACUCGAGGUUGUUUCUUCGGAAAGUGUAUCGUAUGCUCAUUACCAUUAACAUGAAAAGUGACAUUGCCCUUUGCAAUCAAUAACAGCUCCUGCAGUAUUCAAAAAGGGUCUACCAAGGAUGGUCGACAUACUGUCGUCCUCGGGUAUAUCAAGAAUAACAAUGUCCGUAACAAUAGUAACAUUUGCAACUACUACAGGCACAUCCUCACAAAUACCGAUGGGUAUAGCAGUUGAUUUAUCAGCCAUUUGCAAAGAGAUUUUAGUGGGUGUCAACUUAUUCAAAUCAAGUCUACGAUAUAAGGAGAAAGGCAUAACACUAACACCGGCUCCCAAAUCACAUAAAGCAAUUUUAACAUAGUUUCUUUUAAUGGAGCAUGGCAUAGUUGGUAUUCCUGGGUCUCCUAGUUUCUUUGGUAUUCCACCCUUAAAUGUAUAAUUAGCAAGCAUGGUGGAAAUUUCAGUUUCCGGUAUCUUUCUUUUAUUAGUAACAAUAUCUUUAAUAUACUUAGCAUAAGGAGACAUUUUUGUAAUAUCAAUCAAAUGCAUACGCAAAAAGACAGGUCUAAGCAUUUCAACAAAGCGCUCAAAUUCUUCAUCAUCCUUUUUCUUGGAUGGUUUAGGAGGAAAGGGCAUGGGUUUCUGAACCCAUGGCUCUCUUUCUUUACCAUGUUUCCUGGCAAUGAAGUCUCUUUUAUCAUAUCUUUUAUUCUUAGGUUGUGGGUUAUCAAGAUCAACAGCUGGUUCUAUCUCCACAUCAUUAUCAUUACUAGGUUGAGCAUCAACAUGAACAUCAUCAUUAUCAUUAUUACUAGGUUCAUGUUCAUCACCUGAUUGUGUUUCGGCAUCAAAAAUAGAAAUAUCAUUUGGAUUCUCGGGUAUGUCUGGCUAUAACAGGUUCACUAGAAGCAUGCAAGGUCCUAUCAUCAUUCUUUUUCUUGUUAGCUGGCCUAGGUGCCUCAAUAUUAAUUCUAUAAGAGUCUUGUUCAAUUCUCUUGGGAUGGCCCUCGGGAUAAAAGGUUCCUGAGUCAUUUUACCACCUCUAGUCAUAACUCUAACAGCAUUAUCAUUCAUCUUAUUGUUCAUCUCAUUGAGCAAAUCAUUUUGUUCCUUGAGAACUUGUUCAACUGGAGUUUUUACCAUGGAAGCAUGUUUACUAACAAACUUGAGAUCAUUAACAGUUCUACACAUAUAGUCACUCAAGUGUUCAAGCAUAUAAGAAUUUCUUUUCAAUUGUCUACUAACAUACGCAUUGAAGUUUUCUUGUUUAACAAUAAAGUUAUCAAAUUCAUCCAAGCAUUGACUAGCAGAUUUAUUAUGAGGACUUCAUCAAAUCUAUACACAAAAUUUACCUUUACUACCUGGGUUGGGUUAUCAAGACCAUGUAUUUCUUCAAUAGGUGGUAAAUUCUUAACAUCUUCAACUUUAAUACCUUUUUCUUUCAUAGAUUUCUUUGCCUCUUACAUAUCUCCAGUACAGAGAAAUAGAAUACCUAUCUUCUUCGAAGUUGCCUUGGGAGAUGGUUCAGGAAGAGUCCAAUUAUUAUCAUUACUCAAUAUAUUAUUCAAUGGUACUUCAGCUUGUUCAACAGUUCGCUCCCUGGAAACACAACCAGCACAACUAUCUAGGUGGUCCCUAGAAGCAUCGGUUAGUCCAUUAUAAAAGAUAUCAAGUAUUUCAUUUUUCUUGAGAGGAUGAUCGGGCAAAGCAUUAAGUAAUUGGAGAAGCCUCCCCCAAGCUUGUGGGAGACUAUCUUCUUUGAUUUGCACAAAGUUAAAUAUUUCCUGUAAUGCGGCUUGUUUCUUAUGAGCAGGAAAAUAUUUCUCAGAGAAGUAAUAUAUCAUAUCCUGGGGACUACGCACACAACCAGGAGCCAGAGAAUUAAAUCAUAACUUAGCAUCACCCUUUAAUGUGAAAGGAAACAACUUAAGAAUAUAGUAAUAGCAGAGUUUUUUCCUCAUGAGCAAAUAGGGUGGCUAUAUCAUUCAAUUUAGUAAGAUGUGCCACAGCGGUUUCAGAUUCAUAACCAUGGAAAGGAUCAGAUUUAGGAUCGACGGAGAAUUCAUAAUCCUUAUCAGUAACAAAGAUAGGUGAAGUCGCAAACUUAGGAUCAUAUUGCAUUCUAGCAUUCAAAGAUUUUUCUUUCCACUUGCAUAGUAAUUUCUUAAGAUCAUCUCUAUCCUUACAAGCAGGAAAGUCCCUAGCUACCUCCCCAUCCAUAACAUAACGCUCAGGUAUAACAGGUAAUUCAUAUCUAGGAGAGCUAGGUCUAAUGGGUGUUUCAAAUUUUUUAAUUUUAAUAAUUUCACCAGUUUUAGAAAUAUCAUCAGUUUCAGCAUUCUCAAUAUCUUUAGCUCUGGCAAGUUGUUCAUCAAGAAAUUCACCCAGUGGCACAAUAUUAUCAAGCAAAGUAGUAGUGUCAUCAUAAGCAUCAUGCAUAGCAGAAGUACCAUCAUCAAUUACUUGCGACAUAUCAGAAUCAAUAGCACGUGUAGGUGUCGCAAGCUUACUCAAAACAUAAGGUGAAUCAAGUGCAGAGCUAGAUGGUAGUUUCUUACCUCCCCUCAUCCUAGAGGGAAAAAUCUUGGUUUUGGUAUCUUUCAGAUUCUUCAUAGUGAUCAACGGAUAUAACUCCCAAGUGACUGAGCAAAUAUAGCUAUGCUACCCAGCAAUGGCGCCAGAAAAAGGUCUUGAUAACCCACAAGUAUAGGGGGUCACAAUAGUUUUUGAGGGUAGAGUAUUCAACUCAAAAUUUAUUGAUUCGACACAAGGGGAGCAAAAGAAUAUUCACGAGUAUUAGCAGUUGAGUUGUCAAUUCAACCACACCUGAAAGACUUGAUAUCUGCAACAAAGUAUUUAGUAGCAAAGUAGUAUGGAAAUAACGGUAACGGCGGAAAAAGUAACAGUGGCAGUUUUGUAGUGAUUGUACUAGCAGUAGCAACGAAAGUAACUUAUCAAAGAUCAAUGUAACAGCAGUAGCAAUGAAAGUAACUUAUCAAAGAUCAAUAUGUGAAAAGCUCGUAGGCAUUGGAUCGGCAAUGAUAAUAGUGUUGGGUAAUAUUCAUCAGGUAGCAGUUAUACCCUAGGGUGACAUGGAACUAACUCCAAUUCAUCGACAUAAUGUAGGCAUGUAUUCCAUAUAUAGUCAUAUGUGCUUAUGGAAAAGAACUUGCAUGACAUAUUUUGGCAUGCCCUCCCGUCGCAGCGGGGUCCUAAUGGAAACUAAGGGAUAUUAAGGCCUCCUUUUAGUAGAGAACCGGACCAAAGCAUUAGCACUUAGUGAAUAUAUGAACUCCUCAAACUACGGUAAUCACCGGGAAGAAUCCCAAUUAUUGUCACCUUGGGGUAUGCGGAUCAUAACUAGUAAUAGGUGUCUAAAAAUUGCAAGGUAGGAUCAAGAAUACACAUAUAUUCGUGAAAACAUAAUAGGUUCAGAUCUGAAAUCAUGGCACUCGGGCCCUAGUGACAAGCAUUAAGCAUAGCAAAGUCAUAGCAACAUCAAUCUCAGAACAUAGUGGAUACUAGGGAUCAAACCCUAACAAAACUAACUCAAUUACAUAAUAAAUCUCAUCCAACCCAUCACCGUCCAGCAAGCCUACGAUGGAAUUACUCACUCCCGGUGGUGAGCAUCAUGAAAUUGGUGAUGGAGGAAGGUUGAUGACGAUGAUGGUGACGAAUCCCCCUCUCCGGAGCCCCGAACGGACUCCAGAUCAGCCCUCCCGAUGAAGAACGGGAGGAGGGGGCGGCUCCGUAUUGUAAAACGCGGUUAAUCCUUCUCUCUGAUUUUUUCUCCUCGAAUAGGAACUUAUAGAGUUGGAGUUAGGGUCGGAGGAGGUUCAGGGGGCCCACAAGCCUGCAGGGUGCGCCCCAGGGCUUGUGGCCUCUGGGUGGCCUCCGGUUAUUUCUUGCGCCAGUAUUUUUAUAUAUUCCACAAAAAUUAUUCGUAAAUUUCAGGUCAAUCCGAGAACUUUGAUUUCUGCACAAAAUAAUGCCAUGGCAAUUCUACUGAAAAAAGCGUCAGUCCGGGUUAGUUCCAUUCAAAUUAUGAAACCUAGAGUCCAAAACAAGGGCAAAAGAGUUUGGAAAAGUAGAUACGAUUGAGACGUAUCAUUUGGCCCACAGGGGGAAACGACACCAGAGUGCCGCCAUCAUCCGAUCUACUGAUCUAGAGUUUCCCACGGAAGUAGCGGAUAGAGGUCUGGAACUUCUCCAUAGCGAUGCCUUCAAGAAGGUAACGACAUGAAAGAGUGCCGCCAUCGCCGGUCUUGGCAACAAGCCAAGAACAAGAUUUUCACCCAGAUCUGCUCAACAAACCUCCAUCAAGCAUCGUGUGCACGGGUCGCUACCAACUUGAGCCGCUGCACAACAAGCAGGCCGCAUUGGCCAGAUCAGAUAUGUUCGAAGGCCAGACCACUCAUUGCGUCGACCCGUCCACCAAGCCCUCCAUGCCGCCGCCGACGAUCCAAGGUCAAAUGGCCCAUCACCGCAGAACCGUACACCGCCGCCGAACGCAGCCAACGUCGCUGCGCGCGGAAAGGCCAGCUGUCGCGCCUGUAGUCAGCGUCGCCCGAGGAAGAGCCGGCCGACGCGCCGCCACUGAUCAAGGCAGGGACGCCCGCCGCACUGCUAAGGCCAGAUCGGUCGCGCCUCUUCACAUCGCAUGGCUCCACACCAUCCCCAUGGCGUAGCGAGAGAGGGAGGCCCCCGCAACCACUGUUGGCCCAUGGGUUGUAGGCCGGAGGGAAAGGAGAUUCAUCCCCGCCCGAGCAGGGGCAAAGCGGGGGGAUCAUGGGCCACCAUUUGAGAUUUCAGAAAUUGUUAUGGACCUAGCCCAUUUAUUUCUAACAGAACCCAACGGAUCUCUUGUAUGUGCGAGCUAUAGCCUUGGCGUUCAUAUCCAUCGCCGCAGAUGAACGACCCCCACCGUGGGCAUGGGAGAAUCAUAUUUGACGCUGCAGGCGCCAGUUAAUGUGUAUUCUGUAAACGGACGCCUGCAGCGCCCCGCACUAGGCCGACCCAUUCCGCCACUUUAUUUCUGUUUUACGCAAAAAAAUGUGCGCCUACAGAGAUCGAACGAAGGACCUCAAGGAUGGAGCUACGCCCCAAUAACGACUACGCCAACAUGCCCGAUAUGAUAUGUAACAUCUUCUUCCAUCUUUUCUUAUUUCUUCUUUCUUUGCCAUUUUUCCUUCUUUUUUCUUUUUUUUCUUUUUUCUUCUUCGUGGUUUGAUGAUUUCUUUCAAAUUUGUGAACUUAAAAUCGAUGAAAUUUUUUCUCAAAAUUGAUGGUUUUUUAUUCAAUGAACUUCUUUUCUAAUUCAAUGAUUUUUUUUUUAAUUUGUGGAUUUAUCCAUUAACUUUUUCCUAUUUCGACGAUUUUUUUCAAAUUCAACGAUUUUUUUUAAAUUCGAUGACCUUUUAUUAAAAAAUGGAUGAACUUUUUUUAAAGUUGUUGAACUUUUUUUUCCAAAUUUGAUCUACUUUUUAAAAAGUCGAUGAACUGUUUUUCAACUUGGUAAGUUUUAAAAAAAAUUGAUGAACUGUUUUUCAUUAAAAAAACAACUUUUUCUAAAUUGUUUCCAGAUAAGUCUGGAAAUCUAAUAAAUAGUGCGGAUACAGUGGUUCUUAAACAUUCGCGUUCCAAUCAAUCACUAGCGUUUAGCAGGUGUGGCGGUUGCAAAAUCUUUCUUUUGUUGUAGUGGCAUGACGCGAGUUCGAAGCGUGGUACACCCACCUUUUAUUAUGCGUGCUUUUCUCAUGACAAAUGUUUACUGUGCUGCGCGUCAUGGGCCAGCCCAUGAGAUGGGCGCGUGGGCGCCAGCGCCGAACAGGUGCUCCCUCCCUCAAAAAACAAAAGGAGCUCCCGUGGGCAUUUUUUUUUUUUUUGAAUUGAGGGGCACGUCCUGNNNNNNNNNNNNNNNNNNNNNNNNNNNNNNNNNNNNNNNNNNNNNNNNNNNNNNNNNNNNNNNNNNNNNNNNNNNNNNNNNNNNNNNNNNNNNNNNNNNNNNNNNNNNNNNNNNNNNNNNNNNNNNNNNNNNNNNNNNNNNNNNNNNNNNNNNNNNNNNNNNNCUAAAGAAGCACUAUGGGGAAAAUGGUUACCACACAGGGCUCCAUCCCCGACCCUCACCUUUUCUAAACAGUAACAGAGCUUAGAACAACCAUAUUAUCCAGACAUAGACUACACGAUAAUCCAGUGAAGAAACUCAAAACAUAGAAAAGCUCUCAACCCACUCCCAGACGUCUUGUCAUUGGCGCCCAUCCUCUGCUCUUGUUGAAGAAGCCAUUUGCAACAUCAACCAACAACGCCGCCACGUCGCGCAGCUUCUGUUGCCCUUCUUUUCUCUGUAAGCCAGCCCAGUACGACAUCUAGUAAGCUAUUUGAAAAAACAGCACACUCGGAUCAUGCGGGUAAAAUGUGAUGAAAAGUGGCAGUGUUUCUGGAUUUAGCUAAAAGAAACUGAAAAGGUAAAGAUAAAAGUUGCAGUUUCUGUGAUCAUUCUGAAACUGUAGAGCAUCUUUUUUGCACUUGUGUGGUAGCCAAGUUUGUGUGGAGGGUUGUUAGGAAUGUCACUGGUAUUUAUGAUAUUCCUUGCAAAAUUGAAGAGUUCAGCAGUUGGAUAGAGAUGUUUCCUAAGAAGAUGAGACAAACAGUAGCAGUGGGUGUAGCGGCGGUAUUCUGGUUUUUAUGGAAAGCCAGCUCCCGUGGGCAUGUCCCAAGCCAACCCCUCUUGUUUAAUCUGCAGUACUUCCUGUCACGGCGAAGCAAGAGGCCCCAGUGCAUAGCACGAGCGUGCGAGAGCCUUCCCGUAACCCCACUGUUGCUAUGAUUCAGACCCAUCGUCGGUUGCUGGAGUUGUGUUCUGCGAGAGCAUUUUUCUUCAACUUGAAAUCCCAGCAAUUUUGGUGCACAGGAACUUCAGAUGAUUUUUGCUCAAGCUGAAGUGGGUGGCCAAGUUGUGACUCACCCAACCCAACAAAUACUGAAAGAAAAGGUGCAAGACCCAAGUACGGAAAGAAGCAUGAAGGAUGAACAAGGAACAAGGAGUAAAACAUCAUUUCACGGAGUCUCAAGUGAGAACAAACAAUCAGGUUGCGUGACACACCCAACAACCUUGACCCUUUUUAACCCAACUUGGCACGGCGACGAACAGCAGGCCCUUCCCCUCCACAACAGCACCAGCAAUGUGUGUGUAUCUUGUACAUCAUAUAGAAACAUCCUUUGUUGGGUAAAACAAGACAAAGCGACGCUAUUGCCCUAGCGACAGAGGGACCGGACCGACUCUUGUGUAGUAUCUAGCUUACAGUUACAAUAUCACCUCACAACAAUACACGAGACGUCUUGGGUGCUGGAUGUUCCUCUUCUGUCCAGUCGUCUCUCUUGGUGGGCACACAAAUUAUUGUCGACGGAGUACACUUGACAUUCAUAGUAUGGUACAAGAGCAGCGAGUGGUCUUAGGCAACUUGUUCGUCUUCUUGUCUG